rnacentral:lncRNA from 1 species
AGAGUACUGGUGACCAUUUUGAAGAUCCGAAUCCAGUGGAACAUAGUUUUCUAGUAGUGGUGGCUCAUAGUACAAGGUACCGUAUUCUGGAAUUUGAGAGCUCAUUGGUGUCUCUAUCACUCUAUAUUGAUAGAUUUCAUCACUAGUUCUGCUUUUGUCAAACAUGGCAUCUAUGUUUGGAUCAAUCUGGCCAGGGUUUAUCUGAAAAGACUCUUCCUCAUAUCUAACCACUUCAGAAUCAGUAGAAUUGUUGUGAAAAACACUAGUUGAAGCACCAAUGUCUGGGACUGAGGAGGCAAUAUCUUCUUGAUCCUUACCAACUACUUCCACUUUAUGGCCAUCUGUGAUUUCUGAUGAAGCUAAAGCUAUUGCGUCUGAUCCAUUGUGUGACCUACCAAUGACAUUAACGGAUGACAACCCACUAAUGUCUGUAGAACCAUUUUGAAGACCAUUCUUAGCAACUGGGGGAAGAUUCCCUGUGGCCAAAUAGAAAUCUAGCUUUUUCUUCAGAGAACUAUUCCAGUGAUUCUUGAUUGCAUUAUCGGUCCUGCCAAAUCAUAAAAGGCACAGCAUAUAUAAAACACUAAGCAUGAUAUCAUCGUAAUUCCAGCAUUCGCACCUAAUUUGCUUAAAGCUGGGUGAAAUCAGAACAUUUACCCCUACUGAGAUAUUUUCUUCUGUUGCUUCUAAAGUGUCCCUGCUACUACCCGAAAGCAGGAAACAGAACAUAGAUAGUGUCUGUAGCAUAUCAUCUCUAUUGUCAUAGAAACAAACCAGAACUAAAUAUCUCUUUCUCUUUACUUUGAUUUUUUCUUUUUUUUUGGAGGGGGGGGGGGGGGGGCAUUGUUGCCAGAGGGGUUGUCAGGUUCAUCAACCUAUUAAGCUUCUAAGUCAACAAAAUGGAACUUGUAUCUAAUUUGAUCUGAACAGACAUUCACCCAGAUUUUAGAAAAGCACGAGGCAGAAUUGGUAGAGUAACAGCUCACUUUACUGUCAAGAGUGUCCACAUCUUUAUGUGGCUACAAAAACUGAUAAUUAAGUUUAGAACAUCCGACUGUAAAAGAAGCAGCUAGAAGUAAUUUAAUAUAAAAAUAACAUCCUAGUCUUGGUCGAUGAAGAGACAGGUAUUACAACAAGAAUAGAUUUGGUCUAGACAGUGGACUACAUCCUGCAUCAAUCAAACAUCUGGUUAUUAUUGCUAUAACCAUUAUCUAUAAUAUUAUUAUAGUCAUAAACCAUAUCAUAAGAACAGCUUGAGAAGACCUACUGACUCAAGUGAAUGCAGCACCAAAUUCAGACACUGUCUACUGAAUGUUUGCAAUCAAGGAAUAUACCUGCCAGGUAGAACCUUAGCAAUUUCAGCCCAUUUGUUCCCGUGAACCCGAUGGGCAUUCAUGAGAGCUAGUUCCUCUUCCAAUGCCCAGGCAUCCUUCUUUAUGCCAGGAUUCAGAUGAUUGUGCCACCUAAACAUUUUGAAAGCAAUAAAUUACAUCCACAGAAAUAAACAAAGUAAUAGAACGUUAAGCUAAUUAAAAAUUUUAGAAGACUAAAAUGACUUGAUGAGAUAUGAAGAGGGAAAAUAGUUGGUGCUCAGAAAAUUAAAAACGGUAUACAAAUUAAAUAUGUAACCAUAAAUGUCUAUUGUACUUCAAAUAGGCAGACAAAAUCUCAUACAUGUACAUGAAAAUACCUACUUUCAAUGAUUUUACAUGUGCAUUCGGAGCACAGAUUUUAGAGUAAUGUAUUAAGUCCCAAAAUCCUGAAAACACGACACAUGAAAACUGCUGUAGUAUGAAUAACAUACAGACUAGAUCAAUCAAUGCCAACACUCACAACUACCUAAAACCAUUCUAGAACUGCAAAAUUUUUGAAGUUCUCAAAUAUGCACUUCACCAAUAGUUGAACAAGAAUUUAACUUCUACCAAUUUGCAGAUUAAACCCAAAAACGAAUACAUACUGUAUUUAUAGUGUUACCUUUCGCGGCACUGCUUCCCGAUUCGACCAGGCAAAGACUUUGCUAUGACCGACCAUUUUGUAGGCCCAUAUUUUGCUACUAGUUCAACAAUUUUUUCGUCUUCCUGUUAGCCAAAUAACAGGAGGAGCUCAAUCAAUAGGGGUAAUUAUCAACAUAAAAACAAUUCUGACUCAAGCCUAGAGACGCAUGAGAAAAAUGGAGGACAUAAGAAACCAGAAGCCAACCUACCUCCUGAGUCCAUGGUCCCUUAACAAGUUCAGGAUUUAGAACUUUUUGCCAUCUGUGCAAGCACUGCACUUCUGAUCUAUCCGGAAAGAAUUCAGCUGCACAAAUGGCAAUAUGAAAAUUAAAAGAAAUCUUUUGUACAUUGUUGUUUUAGAACCUAUGCAACUGCAACCCAUAUAGAUAUCUGAACAACUUCCUAUCCAAAAUCUUAUGUUAAUCUAUAGAAACACCUGUUAAAAUCUUUAGUUUGACAAUCACUACAGGUGUAUUAUUUUCUUCUAAAUGUAUUGGUUGACAAUUCCUAUUACAACCUAUAUUCAUGCGAUGCUCUAGUCCCAGAACGUAAAAUAACAGAUUCUCAGAAUGGUGCCCAUCAAAUUACUGCCACUGGGGAUCAAACAACAAUAAGAUGCACCGUGAUGCAAAAAUGAAUACCUAUUUUCUUCCAACACUUCCCCUUGAAAGCUGCAACAGCUCUUUUCAGUGUAUCAUCCUAGUAACACAUUUCCAAAACUUUUAUUAACCCAAAAUGAAAAACCGAAAAUGAAGAAUCAAGCUGCAUAUUCCAACUGAGCUACGACAAAAAUUUGUAUCUGGCAACAGAUAGAAGAUCAUGUGAUUUGAACAAUAAAAAAAUAGAUAAAUUGCAAGAAGAUAACUAUAAUAAUAAAAAGACAAUUACUUGAUUGUUCACCCAAUUGACUUCAGUCCCCAGAAUAUAACAAUUGGUAAUUUUUUAAAAUUCUAGAUCCAGCUUAAACUGGCUGCUAAUAUUGUAUGACUAAAGACUGCCUCUCACUUUUGUGGUCCGUCUCAGAAAUUAAUUGUAGAAAUUGCUCACCUCCUCUGGUGUCCAGCCUCCUUUCGCUCUCCUAAUUGGCCCCGUUGUCCUCCUACAAGUCAACAUGCACAUCAUUAUGUUAACAUGGUUUAGUGCACUUUGAUGCAUUAAAGAUGCAAAAGAUAAAGAUUAAGCCAAGCAAGUGUAAAAUCUUACAGUAACUACCAAUCUCUUGAUAUCACACCAAAUCCAGAAGGUUCCAAAUAGAGAACAGACAAAAUGGAUAUCAUUUGACUGACCACUGAAGACAGCAGUCAUUUUAGCAGCCUUCCCUAUCCCUACAUCAGCUUCCAAUUUCCUAAACCUGUAUCCUAAGACACUCUCACUUCGCAUUUUCAGCACAACACCACAAACUAUCCUUUUUUUCAUCAAUGGCCUAGAUUAACUUCCAUUGUUGCUCUAAUGAGAGCAUCAAGUGUCUACAUUAUUUUCCAACACAAUAUGCUUUGGCACAUUACUACCAGUUCCAGUUAGGAAUGAAUCUUCAGAAAUUUCAGAGUUUAUGAGUAAAUCAUUGUGGUCAAUCUGAAAUUCCACUUUCUUCCCCUCCUCCUCUCAAAUUAUGGAACCACUUGCUGCUCCUGAGGACCAAACUCAUAAGGUCACAUAUGCCGAUUAAUCAUGUAUAAUGUCCAACUUACGAAGUAUUUUCUUCUAAGAGACAAUAGACCUAUAUGUAUGAUAGUUCGUCCCUACAAAACACCAAAAUCCACCCAAAUAACAUGUAUCCUGAAGUAAAUUACAUAUCUUAAUGUGGUGAUUACAGUGAAGCUUGACAUUUUGAUUAGGAUACAUUCAGUCAAAAUCUUGAAAGGAAAAGGUACUAAUAGAAUGAAUACCGAUGAGAUGGAGAUGUAGCUGUCGGGCUUCCAAUCCCGGGUGAUUUCAGUGUGACACUGCCACUGGUUUCAGAAACAGACGAACUCGAAGCAGCUGCUGACUGCUUAUUCUCCAGACAAUAACCCUCUGUUUUCACCUCUGUCAUCUCCUUCAGAUCAUCACCUCCAGAGCUCAACAUCCUAAAGCACGUUUAAAAUAUCCAAGAAAAGAAAAGAGGAUAAAAGUCCUAAUCCACAAACAAAAGCUAGUUAAACUCGCACAAAAAGCAAAGCCCUUUAAACUAAUCUCAGGAAUUCGCCAGAAAGGGACAAACCCACGUCAGCAUAAACCCUAAAAACCCCAAUUAAAAUAGAUAGUCGUAAUCCAUUCAAUUACCAAUGAAAUUAAACUAAAACCAGAUCUCGUGAAUCAAUAUCAGAUCAAAAUAUGAUUAAGAAACCUCCAUCAGACACUGCAACACUGAAUUACUAAAACACUUACAGCUUUGGCAUAUCAAACAGAUAACAACAAUCGAUAAAAAUUAAAAUACAUCGCAGUAGUCUAAUCAAGGGAAAGCAUAGUUAAACCUAUCGCAAAGCAGUUGAAUUUUCCAGAAAAAAUUUCAAGAAUCACCUCUAUACUAGAGAAAUGGCGGGAAUUCAACUCCAGCUCAUCGGACCCUUAAAACUCAGAAAGAGAAGAAUUCAGUUUAGAGAGAGAGAAGAAGAAGAAGAUUGAAGCUUUCGUUUCGCAAGAAAACCUUGCCCGUUGAACAAUAAAGAAAGAGAAAGAUAGAGAACGUAUAUAUCCCUAUUAUUUAUAAUUUUGUACAUAACGAAUAUCACCGACGGUGCCGUUUACUGGCCGUUAAAUUUUGUUGGUCUAGGGGCUGCGGAGUUGGGGAACUUCGCAUCAGGUUAUGACGGCGGUUAACGGUUUCACGUGAACGUUGGGGAACGAAGUUUGAACCUCAAACGGCACACUGCCCUUAUGUAGGUUAUUGGGUUAAAUGUGGGACGUGCUUAGAGGAGUUAAUGGUUCCCGGGUAAUUCUGGACCGUCUGAUUACGAUAUUGAUUGUUUAGGGGUUCUGCACUUCUGGGCUUUUCUUUACAUGCCAAAAUAUAUUCCUUAUACUAUAUAAGAUUGAAUUUUGGUCAAAGAGGAAAUUAAAUUUCAACCGCAUAGGUAGGGACUUUUUGAAAAUUCUUUAUAUUAUGAAGUGUUUUGCAAGCUGAAGGUACAAGUCAGGAAAGUCUGUGAUUGGGUAUAUUAACUGAAAUGGCCUCCUUUAUAGACAUUUAAAACUUUAAAUGUGGUUGUGUGUUUGGGUAUUUAUGAUAUGUGCAAUUAAUUUGGAACCAUUUGUUGCUUUUGAUACAACUCAUAUAAGCAUGUGGGUUUGUGUAAUUACUGAAAUGGCCUUUACACAGCACACGUUCAGCUCUUGAGCCGCAGACAGCCGUUUGGGACUCGCUCUUUGGCUGAAAUUGCCUAAAAUAAGUUUUGGCCGCUCUCACAGACAAAUGUUUGUGUCUGUAAUUUGAACAGCCUUUUUCUCUGCUGUUCUUGGCCACUGUUGCCUAAUGUUUCAUGAGCUUUCCAGAUAGUUUCAUGUUUGCAUCUGAAUAUUAGUUUUUGUAUUCUUUGAAUGUUGUCUCAUGAUAUUGUUAGCUUUACCGUCCUAAUUCCCAGCUUGUCUUUUCAUUGUCUCUUAGGUGUGAACUCCACUAUUUUGCUGUCAUUUAUGCCUGAAUUUAAUGGCCAUAAACAUAGGUUUAUUAAUGACUCCAUGUCUGGCCUUUGGGAUUGGGUCUGUUCCCCCUCUCAAUUUCGGAAAUUGAAAUUUUCCAUGCCUCUUCCUUUCCCCUCUCAUCCGAGCUCAUGUCCGAAAGACCCAAUUUCUUUGACAUUAUAGCCUCAAUUAAAUAGUCAAGUAUUUGUAUGUUACUGCUUAAACGGCUGCGCAUUGAUUAUGCUUAUUUCAAUGCCUCCUCUUUCGUUUUUUUCGGUUUCACCCUUUUAAUAUUUUGGGAUUUGGGCUGUUUUUUAUGCCUUUCUACCGAGCAUCUUAGAAUGUUUUUUAGCCGCAACUACUUCUGGUGGUUCAGUUUGAGAUAAGAUUUUUUUCGCAAUUUUGUCGUUCAUGUGGGUGGUUUGGGCCAUGUGUGGUGUCGAUGUAUACUUAAUUCCUAAAAUUUGACACUGGGCCCUUGUAAUUUAGCUGCAACAUACAGAUUUUUUCAUAAAUUUAGAAAGCCUCUGUAAUUUGACUGAUUUGCUUAUAAUGUUAUAGGUUUGAGAUAAUAGCAAGAAAAAGCUCUCAGUGGGGUUUUUGGAAUAAGGUUAGCUUUCUGGUAUCAAGUCAUUUGUGUGAUUUUCUAAUAUUUGUCACUACGAAACAACAUCUACAUCCUAGAAUACUGGAAGUGCAAUAAGUGCAACUGAAGUAACUGACAACCCAGACCUCAAUUCUAAAGGAACACAAAUGGAUGUUGCAAUACAAGCAGUGGAGACACAAAAAAGAGACAGUUCAAUCACUUUGACACCCUCACCAUUUACAAAGUCCAGUGAAGGAACUAGUGGUACAAUCCCUGCAAAACAAAAUGAAGAAACCACCAAGAAGCAACGUAUCUGAAUGCUGCCUAUUACAGCAUCUAAAAGAUUUUACUACUAUUACUAUCACUAAAUAAGUAGACAUACAUAAUAUCCUUUUGAACUACUAUAUUAUCUAUCUGGAUCAUGGGAAACCUAUUUGUCCGUACAUUUUUUAAAAUUUGCUGCAUCUACUUAUUUGUCUUUGGGAACUUGCUAAUUCUAAUAUUAGGUGGCUCUUAUGUUGUUUGCCUCGUAAUCGUACAUGCCUCUAAUUAUGUCGCACAGUGCACUAUUUUUAGUUCAACGAAAACACUUUUUUAACCACUGCACCAAACACCCGCGCAUCGCCCUAGUAUAUAUGUAUAGAAAUGGGUACGUACAUAGUACAGAUUGAGUUUGAGAGAGAUUUGGAUGGGGUCGCAAUGAAGUAUGUUUUGUCAUCAAUGUCUAAAAACAUUCUUCGUGGCCACUUAGGCAUCAUUGAAGUGGAUCAUGACUUUGCCAGGGGUUGAGAUUUAUUGAUUGGUUUUCUAUCGGAUGGCGAGAAAUUUAGUUAAAAGUAUGAUACACGGGGGAUAUGAUGAGUGUAGGAUACACUUGAAUCUCGUCUAUAAUUGAUUAUGAUAAGUAUAGACAAAAAUUAAAGGGCUUUGAACCAAGGAAAGAAGGGAAUAAGAUUUAAUUCUUUAUUUUGUAUUUUGAUAGAUUUUUUGAGGGAAUCAACAGCUUUUUAUACCACACAGUCUUGGUGACAGCCGGAAAUUGCCAUUUGAGCAUAUUUCAUGCAUUAAAACGCAAAAAAAAAAAAAAAAAAAAAAAACCUGCAGAAUAUGAAGCGGUUUGGAGUCGAGACCUCGAGUUCGAUUAUGCUUAGUAUCAAUAAAUAAGCCACCUAAAUUCUAGUGACAAUCAGUUUUUUUUUUAUGUAUUUUUUAGAGAAAAUAUCAAUGAUUUCAUUCAUUUAAAUUAGCAGAUGUAUCAUUGAUUAAAAAAAGGAGAGAAAAUUAUCCCACCAUACAAAUCCCUGCUCUAAGCUAGCUGCCAGGUCUGUUCCUUGCUCUAAGCAGUCACGAACAGUUUUAUUUUAUGUUAUAACACUAGAAAUGCUAGUUGCUCCUCCAAUUGCAAUAUGUUAUAUGUUAUACUAGGGAUGAUGCUGAAUCAAGUAACUCAACUCGAGCUCGGGAGUUAGUUGAUCAAUAACUCGAUUCGAAAUCAUUUUGAUCGAUCUCGAACUUAAGUUUGAGCCACUCGUUUGAGCUCAAACUCCAAUAUUUUGUACUAAUAAACUCGAUGAAUUUAAUGGAGUUUUUUAUAAUAUAUAUUUUGAUUUUUUAUAUAUAAUAUUAUGAAAUGUCAAUAAUAUUCUUUAUUUAAAAUUAUAUAUAAAUAUAUUAAUUUUUAUUACGUGAGCUUGAUUAUACUCGAAUAGGCUCAAUUAAACUUGAUUACACUCGAAUAAACUCAAUUGAUCUUGAUUUGACUCGAUUAGAUUUAAUUAAACUUAAUCUCGAGUUCGAGUAAGGUAAAUUGAAGAACUUGACUUCUAAAAACUCAACAAACUCGUACUUGAGUUCGAAAUCAAUUAUUUUACCUCAAAUAAUGCACUAUUCAAGUUUAAUUCGACUCGAAUGCAUCCCUAUAUUAUACUUCUGAGUACAUGUACAUAUAUUUAAAUGAAAUUUUGCCAGAUUGGGGGUGAAUAUAUUUAAUGUUUUUUUCUUAAUACAGGCUAAGUUCACGCCGAUUUGAUAAUAUACAUAUAUGUACACAGUAUACAUGAGAUGUAUGCAUACAGAUUUGAGCUCAAAAGAACCCGUUAUAAUCCCAAAGCUAACAACUUUUUUCAAAGAGAGAGAAGGAAAAAAAAAGAAGAAGAAAUGGUCCGACUACUCAAAACAAACACUUACAAAUACCUAGAAUCAGACACAAGCAACAGGGGAAUUAGUGAUCAUGCACUCAGCCAAAAAAAGGCCACGAAUUUUUCUAGUAUUUUAACUUACAGCUAGGAAUGGCAGUGGAUUCCCCUGCCUUAUUGUCCAAACCAUAGUUAUUAAACCCGAUCCGGCCCGUCGGUCGAACCGGUCAAACCAGUGAAUCGGACAUUGGACCGAGCUGGGUUUCGAGUUAGAUCGUUUAAGCAAUCAACCCGUUGACUAGUCAACGGACCGGCGGUUCGACCGGAUUAAACCGAAAAUCCGGCCGAUUUUGUCUACAAACCGGGUUCCUGAAAAAAAAUUUAUGCCUUUGAUGGGAUUCGAAUAUUGGACGUAUGAGCAUUGCAACAACGCAAAAACCACCACGCUACUUCACAAUAUGGUGCCAAGGUUUCUUACUUAUAGUAUAUAAACCUUUUUCAAUUUUAUCUUUUUUUUAUUUCUCUAAAACAAAUUUAUUUGGAAUCUUUUAAUAAAAAUUUAUGACCCCCAAACUCUAUAAGUUAUAAAAUAGACUUCAAAAAUAACAUAUUACAUAAUUCAUUUUAAAGACAAAUAUUAUUUUUAAUAUUUUUUUGCACUUAAAACUUAUAAAUAAAUUAGAUAAUUACAUUGAAUAUAGAUAAAAUUUUAUACUUAAAAUUUGGUGUAUUACUAAAUAAUUUUAUAUUUUAUUGAUUCUUAUAUGAAUUAAUUAUUUUAUAGCAAAUUAAAUUAUAUGAGUAUUUGCUAUGACAUUAUUUAUUACAAUUUAUAUCUUAUAUCUUAUAUUUAAAAUUAUGAAAUAUAAUAUUUAAAUAUAUUUAGUGACCCACCGGUUCAACCACUCACCCACUGGUUGAACCAAUAAUCCGUUGAUCCACCUCGUUCGCCGGGUUCCCUCCCGGGUUGGGUUUAAUAACUAUGGUCCAAACAUUUCCCUGCCCCGCUCGGCUUCCUCACAAGUCACUAGUGUGACGCCCCGAAAAAAAAAGAGUUUGAGAACCCGUAAAGACCCUAAUCUUUUCCGAGGGUUUUAUUUCCUUUAAUAGCAUGUUUUCUGCAUUUCCUGGUUUAGGAAAUUUUCCUGAGGAAUUUUUAUGAGUAAUUAUAGUUUUUAGAUGAUUUUUCUACUAUUGGCGAGUUUUUGAAAAAUUAAGAAUAUAUAAUGGACGUGGGACCCACUAGUGCGAAAAGUUCGGAAAAAUUCGGCCAAUAAGGUUAAGUUUCGGAUACUGUGUAAAAUUUAUCGGGUGUUAAUAGAUAAGUAGAGUGUGUGAAAUGAUUGAUGUGAGAGAAGAAAGAAAGGAUAGGAAUGCAUUUAAUGAGGUGACAAGUGUCACAUUCUCAUUGGUUGGACUUUAAGAAUUACUAUUCACUUUCUUGACUUUUUUGACCAAAGGAUUAAAUAUCUCAAAAUUGCCCAAAAAUCACCAUUUUCUUCUCCAUGUUGGCCGGCCCCUCCUAGCUCAAGAAGGAAGGAAAUUUCUUCAACUUUCAAGCUUCCAUUUCACUCAAUCUUCCAAGAACAAAAGCCUACACUAGGUUCCACUCCAUAAAAUCUUUCCUUCUAGUGCUAGUAAGUGUCUUAGUGAAGUUUGUUUGAAGGUCUAAGGUGGCCAACAUCCCUCUCUCUCUUGAUUUCUUGGUAAGUGAUGCUUGAACAUCCUACUACACCUAAUGAUGCUUAAGAUAAGAUUAGUAGUGAUUAAAGUGCUGAAAUUUCUGGUUUUAUCUUGGUUUGAAGUGAUUUGGUGAAGUUUUGAUUUUAUUGAUGAUUUUUCUGGUUUAAUUGGAUUAUGGUGUUGUGGUUGUUUAUGAUGAUUGAUAAUGAGGGGUUAUGACUCUAGUGGAUGGAAAUGAUUGAUAUUUGCAACCAAUUUUGGAUUUGGAAUAAAUUUUGGAAAGAUAGGGUUCAUGAAGCUACAUUCUGACCGAAUUUAUUGCACCAUGUUAGAGGCCGAAUUGGCCUUGGCUUAAAACAUGAAAGUUGUAGGUAUUGAUGUGUUUGAAGUGCCUGUAAAAUUUCAGGUUAUUUGGACUAGUGUAGAGUGAGAUAUGUCGAUUUUACUGUUGCUGUUCUGGGUUGAUCAGAAUGCGAAAACUGCACUUGUAAUUGGCCAUUUUGACUGGAAUUGCUUUGGAUUUGGAUGUUGGUGUCUUCUGAUGAAAUGUAGCUGGAUGUCUUAGCUUCCAUAUGCCUUUGGAAUCAAUGCAUUUGGACCUGUACAGACCGAGUUAUACCAAUUACAGCAUAGUGGGAUUUGUGAACCUGUUUUAGUGGUUCUGGUUUGGUAUUUUUGGCAUAUUUGACCUAGUUGUGCUAGGAUUUGGAUUGAGUGGCCUUCUACAUUGUUGUAGCCCUGUUUCAUAGCUUCGAAACGGUGGGUCUUACACCCCCAUCCGAUAAUCAUAGUGAAAUUGACACCAUUACCGCAUAAUAAGGGCAAAACAGUUUUCUAUUUGGGGCCAAGACUAAGGCCAUUUUCUAAUUUCUGGUUUGCUAUUAUGCUCAUUUAUGCAUAUGAAACCCUAUUGGGGUUGUGUUUAGCAUUGCUAUAUGACUCGUUAUCGAGUCUCAUUGCAUUUGUUGCGUGAUUUUAGGGCGUGACGGUGGUGCACAACGUUCUUUUGACUAAAGUAUUUGAAACCGCAUUGUGCUAGCUAGGUGAGUGUACUACUCACUUAUGUGCUAUUACAUGGCUUUGAUCUUUGUACUUGAGAUGUUGAAUGUUGAUUGAUCCAAGUGAGAGUGUACUUUAUCACUUUCACUUAUUGUUUCGCAUGUUAUUGGAAAGUUAUAUGAAAUGUUAUAUGAAAUGUUAUAUGAAAUGUUAUAUGAAAUGAAAUACAUGACUUCAAAUAUUAUCCAUGAGCUCAACCCCAUUGGUUAUUGAUUGAAUCGAGCCGGCGAGGGCUUGGUCGUGCCAAUUAAUGUGCCUUGGGGCAACAUCAUAGGGAAUCUUGUAGUAUGAGAGACUCUUGAUUCCGGUUUACUCGAGUAAUACCACAAUGCAUGCGUUUGGAUUUCGGGCCCGGUUGAGGAAUGUUAGGAGGAAGGGAAUGGAAGUUAAGAGGAGUCUACGGUUGGUUACCUUUCAGACAUUGACGGAGAGUCAAUGAGACCUGAUCAAGAAUUCAAACGAGGAAAAGGGCUCUUGAGAGCCACCCGUAUCCUUUUAUCCUCAUUAUUAAUGUGUGGCUUUAUUUAUUUUGGUAAAUUGGACUGUUAAACUUGAUGUAUCCAUGAACUUGGUUGCUUGAGUUGUAUUCUCACUGGGCAAUUAGCUCACCCCGUUCCUUUUGUUUUCCUUACAGGAAUAUGACUCUUUUGGAAUGAAUUUUGAUAAAUGGUUGCCGAAUGAACUAGAUGAAUGACUCUUUUGUAUUGUAUAUAAAAUGGGACCCUAAAUGUAUCAUUAGGGCCGUUUUCACUUUUGUUUUGGCAAACCAUAUAUGUAGUGACUUUUGUAUCACUUUUAAAUGUCAUUUUGGUUUGUAAAGGCUAAAUGUUAUGUGGUAUAUGUAAUUCGAUGUUUGGUUGGGUUCGGACGAGUCGGUUACUAUUCAUGGCCGACUCCGGAUUUUAUUUCUUUUAUUUUGGGUUAUUUUGCCCUUUUGCCUUAUUUGCGCGCGUUAUAAGUUCCGGAACGUGGUAGAUCGCUCUAUACUGCACCGUUAGUCCUGGCGAGAGUUGGGCAGGCAGUCCGCUAACCUCUUUGGUUCGCUUUAGGGGAAGGUGGGGCUGUCACAACUAGUCACAAGACAAAAAGCAUACAAUAAAAUAAAGGGUUAUUAUCACUUUACCUCAUUAACGUUUAAUACUAUUAACAAAUUUUCUCUUAAUGUUAUUUUUUAGUCACUUUACUUCAAAUACUAACGGUCAAACUUAACGGAGUUUGUUAAUUAAAGUGAAAAGACAUGUCUAACCCUUAGAAUUAUUAUCACUUUACUCGCAUAAAAUUUAGUCUCAUUAUCAAUUUACCUCCUAAAGUUAUUUUUUAGACAAUUUAUCCUACUAUUAAACCAAUUUAACAAGUUAAAAAAUUUUAGAAGAAAAUACCCUCCCCUUUGCAUAAUAAAAAUAAUAAAAAAUUUAAAAUGGCUAUUCUCCUUUUUAGUAUCAAGAAAAAAGUCAGAAUAAUAAUUUCUUUCUUUUUGGCAAUCAUAUUAAUAUUGAAAAAAAUUAAAAAGAUGGAGAGGGGGAGAGUGAGAGAGAGAGCUCAAUUUUUUUUUAAAUUACAAAUAAGAAAUAAUUAAAUACUUUUAUUAUUUUAAAAUUAUUUUACUUUUUUGUUUACCAUUAAAUUCCAAUUCUAAUAUCGACAACCUUAAAGUAAUACGAUAAUGUUAGAUUUUUCUUUAUUUUCUUUUUUGCAAAAUCUAAUUUUUUGCCUCCAUCUUUCCCAUCUAUUUUUCUUUUCCUAAUGUUAAUAAAUGUGAAAAAAGAAAUUUGAGAAAAUCAUUUUAUUUUUAUGUUUUUCGAUCUUUUAAAGUGAAAAAAGGAAGAAUAACCAGUCCAAAUUUUUUAUUUUUAAUUAUACAUAAAAAAGCAAAUAUAUUUAAAAUUUUGUGACCAUACUAGUUAGAUUAACGAUGGGGUAAAAUGUUUAGAAAAUAAUGUUAGGAACUAAAGUGAUUGUAUCACUAUAAUCUAAAUGAAUAAAGUAAUAAUAACAAUGUAACAAUGCUAUAAAAUAAAAGGGUAUUUUUGUCCAAAAUUUCUUAACAUGUUAAGUUGAAUUACUCAUGGGAGUAAAGUGACUAAAAGAUAACGUUAGGGUGUAAAUUGAUAAUAGUGAUAUAGUUUAAGGGGGUAAAGUGAUAAUAAUCUUGAAAUAAAUGUAUAAUUAGUACAAAUGUAAUUAAUAAUUUAAUAUAAAUAUAUUAGCAUAACUAAUUAAUAGUUUCUAUUAAUAUAAAUAUAUAAUUAUUUGUAUAAUUAAUAAUAUUAAUUAUAUUACAUAUAAAUAAUCUAAUACCCAUAUCUAAUAAUAUUAAAUAUGUUAUAAUCUAAUAUCCAUAGUUAUAUAUAUAUGGGUGACGUGACUGAGAUAUACUUUUUUUUUUUCAAAAACGAUAAUUAUUGUAUAACUUAAUCUAUCCUAUAUUAGGCGGAGGAGGUGGACCUAAAGAAGUCUAAAAAUAAUCCGGAGAGGACUGAACCACCACCACCAGAAACCCCUCCCCCACCGACCCACCACACCCUGCAUCUGGGGCCAUCAGCCCCAAUCAACCCUGCAGGAAAGUAAGCCCACACCAGGGGGAGAGCAGGUGGCUCAAUCCUUAUUUCGAGCCCAGAAGCGCAAGAAAUUCAAAAUUUUGAAUGCAUAGCCUCCAUAAUAAGAUAUAACGGUCCAGUCCUGGUCUCGCUUCUCCCUAAUUUUGCUUCAUCAAUCAAAGAAAAUUUCGUCAUUUUCUCCAACUUCUCCAGAUCCAUCAAUUCUCUUCCGUUUCAUCCCUGUUUUUGAUCCAAUUCCAAUGGCAACUCAAAUUGGGCCCUUAAAUACGCCUGGAAAAGAUGGAAAAUUAUCAGCUUCCCAUUCCUGUUCGGUAUCCAAGGUCAGAGUCGUCAUAAGAGUUAGACCCUUCCUUCCCCGAGAAAUUUCGGAAAAAAAUGGCGAUGCCGAGUCCUGCAUUUCCGUUUUUGACUCAGAACUGAAGUCUUGUGAUGAAGUGACUGUGCACCUCAAAGAUCAAGAAACUAGGCAAGUCCAAAAAAAUACGUUUUACAUUUUCCCCCCCUUCCUUUUUGGAGGUGUUAGUUAUUUUUGGACCUUUCUAUUUAGUUGAUUGAAGUGCUAUCUUUUGUUGGAGGAUAUAGUCGGAACGAGUGCUUCAAAUUGGAUGCCUUUUUCGGGCAAGAAGACAACAACAUUAGUAAAAUUUUUCAGGAAGAAGUGAAGCCGUUGAUUUCAGGUAUUUUUAAGGGCUGCAACGCCACUGUCUUCGCAUAUGGUGCUACGGGGAGUGGAAAAACUUACACUAUGCAGGUUUAAUAUUUUCUCUGGACACUUUAUUUUCAUUACCAGAAUUCUGCCCCCGAGGGACUUUUUAAGAUCUUUGUUUUUUCGGCCCCAUUAAGAAUUCAGUUUGAAGAAUUUGUUGAAUGUAUGGAACUUAGCAUUACUACUGCUACUGUAUUUGCUCAAAAGAUGUAACUUGAUUUUACCUAUAAAAUUUGUUAACGAAUGCUGUAAUUAAUGAGCUUUUGCUUGUAUGUAAACAAUCUGAAUGAUGUUGAACAGUAGAGAAGAUUGGUUGCCCGCACAUCAUGCUGGCACUGCUUUUUCAUUUUUCUUCGUUCUUCCCUUUUUAGUUUCGUUUCAUUGUUUUGCGUUAUUCAUUUAGCUUUUCGAGUUUUUAUGUUUGACUUGAACACCUAAUAAGUGAUAAGAGCAGAAGCAGUACUCUACCCUUGAUCUGGUUAAAAGGAAACACAGUAUCCUAACUGUCGUGCAAGUAUCUUUUUCAACAGCCUCCUCAUAUUCAGGUUGUGGCUACACAGAUUUAGUCCUUUCCUGAUCCCUUGAAUUCCUCAACAAUUGUGGCUGCAUAGGUUGUGGCUAAUUGAGCUUGUAGGAUGAGUUUGUGUUUUGCAUUGCACACAGUCUUAUUUUAAUUCCCAUCUGCCUUAUUGUGGAAAAUAUGUGUUUGCCUUAAGGAUAACUGCGUCGACUGUUGUAACAUAUAAAGCAGCAUUCUUGCUUUGUUUGAGUGGGAAGAAAGGGAUAAACUUGUCAUAUAUCAUACAUUAAGUCAAUGAAAGGUUCCCUUUCUACUCUUUAUAUGCAUAAGUGUAAAUUAAUUGAUGACAUUGCAGGGGAGUGAGGAGUCGCCAGGUCUGAUGCCGCUUGCUGUGGCCACCAUUCUCUCUAUUUGCCACAACACAGAAAGUAGAGUAAAAAUCUCAUACUAUGAGAUCUACAUGGACAAAUGCUAUGAUCUUUUGGAACUAAAAGAAAGGGAAAUUGCAAUAUUUGAUGACAAAGAUGGACAAAUUCAUCUUAGGGGAUUAGCUCAAGUUAGAGUGAACUCAAUAUCUGAAUUCCAUCAGGUGUUUUCUUGUGCAAUUCAGAGGCGUAAGGUUGGGCAGACAAGCCUCAAUGAUGUUUCUAGUAGAAGUCACGGUGUGCUGGUGAUAUCAGUUUCGACCCCUUGUGAUGAUGAUAGUGGGAAAUCUGUGGAUGGCAAGCUAAACCUGAUUGAUUUAGCAGGUUUUUUUUUUUAAUCAUUACUGUGUCUAAUAGUGUCAGAUAACUGUCCAUGAAAUUCAAAGGAAAACUGAAUUUCUUUAUUGAUUCAGGAAAUGAGGACAACAAAAAGACAUGCAAUGAAGGAAUUCGUCUCUAUGAAAGCGCCAAGAUCAACCAGUCGCUUUUUGCACUUUCCAAUGUUAUCUAUGCACUAAACAACAACAAACCCCGAAUACCCUACAGAGAAAACAGAUUGACACGGAUACUGCAGGAUUCUCUCGGAGGAACAAGUCGUGCUUUGAUGGUUGCUUGCCUGGUAAGUUCUGUUGUUUUGUGUACUAAUGCGAGGUUCGAUGGAAGUUUGUACAGGUCUUUUGCAUUUUUCCUUUUUCUUUUUUCUUAUCUUUUUUGCCGCUGAUCAGAAUCCAGGAGAGUAUCAAGAAUCAGUUCGCACAGUUAGUUUGGCCUCCAGGUCACGUCACAUAUCCAAUUUUGUAUCUUCAGCUCAGAAAAAAGAUGCUCCAAGUGUCAGCAUGGAGGCAAAGCUUCGUGAGUGGCUGGAAUCUAAGAGCAAGACAAAGAAUGCUCAAAUGAUCGGUAGAUGUGGAUCUCCGGUAACCAUAAAAAGUCCUACUUCUGUGAGCUCUCUAAAAAAGCCAAAAACAGGCUGGAGUUCUGCAAAACGAAGAAUUGAUAGCAACCAGGGUGCUUCAACUUCUGUGGCUCACAGAAAUUUAUUUAAUCAUGGAGGUCCUGUAGAUCCAGGGAAGGAGGUAAACAUGAAACUACUUUCUCCAAUUGGUUAUUGCACAGAUGAACCUGCAAUUAGAGAGCAGAAGAUGGCAACAGGCAAAUGUUCUACAGGACCAUCCCCUGUUAGUGCUAAAACUAAGUCACCACAAAGUCCCUUGAGGAAAGUCCUUUCUCCAAUUGACUCCAAUAUAAAAGCUGACGACAUAAUUUCAGAAGAUCAACCUCUUGUUUCUUCUGACCUGAAAACUCCCAAAACACCUUUUAUUCAUAAUGGUGGUAAUGACCAGUUUGAGGGCACUGGAAACCCCCUUGAAAAAUUCCAUACUCGAAGUACUAACUUGAAGGUAUGCGUGCACAUUGUAUCAUGCUUAUAGGUAUUUUAUCUACAACUUCGAGUUUGAUCCUUUCCGUUCUAUCAAUGACAGGGCACUCUGGUUCAAGAAUAUAUCGAGUUCUUAAACACAGCAACCAGGUAAUUUUUUCCCCUGGCCUAGAAUUUUCCGUUUCCAUUCUCAGCGUUCCGCAGACUUAAUAACAACUGCGCUUGCUUCUUGUCAGGGAAGAGCUACUUGAGCUAAAGGUAGAUCAAAUUGAGGAAAGGAUCAUAUUUUUUAUUCAGAAAUAAUCUUUUUUUUUUUUUUUGGAAGAAUCGGAAAUGACUAUUUUCCCAUUUAAGUUUUACAUAGCCCUUUUGCUUUCUUAAUAGGGAAUCGGGCAGAAGAUGGCCGAGUACAUUACUGACCUUAGGGAGACGAGUCCUUUAAAAUCAGUAAGGAAUUUUCCAGCAUAAUGUCAAUAAAGUUCCCUGCCCAACAAAAACAAUUGAGUGCUUAACAUUAUUGACCCUGUGACUGUUACAGCUGAACGAUUUGGAGAAAUUAGGCCUUUCAUCAAAGCAGGUAUGGGAUAAACAUUUUGGAAUAACUGCAAGGAGUAUUGUCCUGUGAGAAAUUACGAGCAGAAGACGUGCACUGUUUCAUACUUAUUUUCUGGAUCUUUAUAGGUACACAAUAUGUUCAGCAGAGCUGCAAGAGGUGUUUUUGGAUAAGCUUGUAUGAAACCAAGUCACGAAAUCAUGAAGAGGAUAGCUUACAAAUUUCAGCCAGCAUCAUAACCAUUGUAACAGUUAUUUAACAGCCCUGCUCUUACCCUAAUUUCAGCAUUUGAGCUGUAGCAUCCGCAAAUUGAUGUCAUGGUAUGUAUUAACCUUUUCUUUAAAUCGUAAUUAUUGUCUUCUGGGAUGGGCGACAGCAGCAGAUUUCAUGGCACUGAACGAACACUAACCAAUUCCAUGGUCUAUCACCUUUAAUUUUAAUUUUAAUUUGAAGAAGACUUUGUAUUUUUUUUUUCAGUUUUAUAUAAAAGGAUUCAACUACUGUUUCGAACACUUGUUUACGGGCUUGUCUGAUUCGUCUUCUUCUGGUUGCGGAUGAACUGAACCUGCUGCUUUUGGAACUAAUUUCUCCUCCUUUUGUUAAAAAGAAAAUUGAUGAACAGAAAGUAUUUGAGGGAUUUUGACCACAAGUCGUUGAUAACAACACUUGGCAAAUUACUCACAACACAUCUUUCACAGUUAAACGACGGACUAUCCACUUAAUAAAUUACUCACAACACAUCUUUUACAAAAAUUAAUCACUCACCAACACAACUCUAACUCUCAUAUUUGAAAGAAAAAAAUUCAAACACGAGUUUUUUUUUACCAAAAAGAUCUCUUAACCCUUCAAACAAACCUUUUUAAGAUCUUUUGCACCAAUUUAGCCGGUAAAUCAAUCGAGAAAAAUUGACCCACUAUUUUGGAUUUUUAAAGGUAAAAAUAUCUUAUUUUGAUUGACACAAUUUUUCUCCCAAGAAAAAUCAAGCUUUCAAGGUUAAUCCGUAUUCUAUUGCGAGGUUAAUCCGUACUUUGACCCAACUUCAUAGGAAGUAAAUGCAAUUAACAAAAAAAAAAAAAUCACUAACAACAUCAUCCCCUACCUCUUUCCUUCUCCUCAACUACCCCCCACUCACUACACACACACACACACAGAUGAUUUAGUGACUUAUCUUCUCCUCCGCUCCCACACUCAAAAGAGACCAUCCUGACCACUUACUCCAUAUGCUAUUAACUUGCUACAAAUCAGAUGGAUCCCCGACGAUUUGAGGUCACACUAGCAUGUACUCACUGGUUUCUGCAUUUUGAGCGAUUCUUCGAAUCAGACAGAUUGCCGAUUUCAAAGUCGGUGCGUGCGACGCGACAUGCAUACAUCUAUCUACAAAGCACAAGAUCUAUUGAAUACUCGCUAACAAACAGAAUUUUCCCUUUCUUUAAUUUAACAAAACAAAGGAGUUUUCAUUAGCUAUGAUCAUACUCAAAAACUCUCUUCCUGACCACCAACAUACAGACAAGCAGAGGUACAGUACCAGCAAACGCACAGGUUACUACCUUAAAAUUAAUACACACACAAGAAGAUAGGCCCAAAGCAACCACGGAGAAUCCAUGGCCACUUUAUUACAGGGAACUCCCGUGACCCAUCAUCAUCAUAAAGAUCAGAUGAUGAUAGGGUGACAGGAGAUAUUAUACUACUACUUCUACUACGUCCCCCGGACAGAUGCUGACAAACCGACAACCGACACACUAAAUAUUGCUAGUGAUUAUUAUUUAGUCAUCAUCUCUGCUUGUUUUGUUAAAACAGCGCCUCAUUUGCAGUUGCAGGGAUUGCACUUGCAGUCAGGUCCGCACUUGCAACCUCCGUUCUCAGCUGCAGCCUCCUCACCGGCCCCUUCCAAGUAUCUGUCACAGCCCAUGCCAAAGUAAAAGACAUAUCAAGUCAGAUUUCAGAUCCGAUUUCACAGGUGCCCCAUAAUAGAAAAUUAGGGGUAAUAAAUUGAAAUAAUUUUGAUAAAAGAAAAUAGUGACACAUACGCCGUCUUGGGUGGUGCAACACCGAGAAUGAGAGUUUCAGCGGCGGUGUUCUCGGUGUAGCUCAACUCGGGGUACAUCUUGCAUCUGCGAUCAUCAUUUAACACCAUCACGCAAUCAGUCCGUAAACAAAGAAGACAAUUAACUGACUCCAGAUUUUAAUUUAGAGAUAGCAGCUAGAUAGGCACACAACCCACAGGACGUCCUGAUUUAUGCUUUAGACGACAAAUUUUCCACCACCGUCAAAGAUAAUAAAAAAACAGAUUUAUUUUUUUUUUUAAAAAAAAUCAAAUUUACAAGCGAAGAAGGCUUGAUAGAUCAAAACCAAAAUGAAAAUGAUAGAUCCUACACGAGAAAACCGGUCGAGGCUAUUGAUCCGGAAUUUUAACCCGAGAAAGAAAAGAAAGCAUGCACGCACGUCCAAGGCAAUUGCUUGAAGGAAGAAAAGUAAUAGAAAGUUACCCGCCACAGCCGCCGCUGCACUUGCAGCCAGCGCCACAGCCACAGUUUCCUCCGCAGCACGACAUUCUUUUUUGUUUCUUAGUAAAAGAGAUUGGGAGAUUAUUACGAGAGUUGAGAAGAGAGAUGAAAAAACAAGCAACCCUCCAAUGCAGGAGACCGAAUGAGCCAUGACAAAAAUUUAUAGUGGAGGAGUGGAAAUAAGGGAAUGGAUAUGGACCGUCCACGUGGUAUGAUACAUGAUGGUUAUCCCCAUGAAAGUCGGUCCCCCCCCCCCCCCCCCCCCCCGGUGAUCCGGCAAUCAAUUCACCUGGGUUCCACGUAUCUGUCGUUUUCUGUGGUUCUAAGCUGUCUCCGCUCUCAUGGUCUCAUCAACGUCCAAACAAGUUGUACAGUCCCUAGUCCCUACUCUCAGAAGAUUAUUAAAGGAAUAUAUAAAAAAAAAAGAAAGAAAGAAAGGCCACCAAAUUAUUGCUAUUAAACAGUAAACGGAUUAGACGAAAUGCAGCCAGGACGAGGGCAAAUUAUUACGCUAGUGAGUUUGUUUGGAUAAGAGUUUAUUUGGAUGAUUUAUUUGAGAUAUUUACUGUAGCACUUUUUGUGAUGUGAUAUAUGUGAAAUAAAAAGAUGAUUGGAAAGAUAAAAAGGUGAUUGGGAUUUGUGAGAAUAAAUUUAGCAAACCAAAUUCUCUCUAUCCAAACAAACUCACUGAGUGUGUUCUGGAAGUGCACGUACUCCACAAAAAAACAUAUCCCUCCUCGCCGUCAAACAAUUUCUGCGGACCUUUCGUGAAGUUAUGACUAAAAAAAUCAGUUAACUUUGUUGAAAAAAAAAUAAAUUUAAUUUACUAAAUUUCUAAAAUGACUUACAUUAAAUAGAGUAUGACUAAAUAGUUUUGCAUUAAAUAAAUUAGAUUACACUCAAUAAUAACCUACAUUAAAUAAUAUAUUUUUAAAAAAUUAUGUAUUAAUUACUCUCUCCGUCCCACUUUGAUAGUUAAGGUUUCUUUUUUCACAUAGUUUAAGAAAAAAUAGUUAAUUUUGUUAGAAAAGUAAAUUUAGAUUGCUAUUUUUCUAAAAUACCCUCACAUUAAAUAUGGUACAACUUUAUAUGAACUUGAAUUGAUGGUAAAAAAAGAAUCAACUCUCAUUAAAUGUAAUAGAUUUAUAGUAACAACUACUUACAUUGAAUAAAGAUAUUUUAGAAAAAUUAAAAUACAACUAUAUUCUUUAAUUAGAAAGUGAACUAUAAUUUGGACGGAUGAAAAAAGAAUACAGGACUAUCAAAGUGGGACGGGAGGGAGUAUAUUUUUUAAUUAAAAAGUGAAACCACGAGUGUUUGGUAAUUGGACGGACAGUAGGACCGAAGUGGUGUAUGCUAACGGCGAGUACAACGAAUGAAUGAAGCAACAAAUCUCCGCCACACGAUUUUGAAAUGUCGUCUGCUCAUGUGCUUGCUAAUUAAGGACCAUAGUGUUGUUAGAUGUUACUAGUUGACAUCUGUAUUGCCAAUUCAAAUUGAACCUAACUUCUGCGAGUAAUUGUAAAUUUUAUUAAUUUCGUCCGUCUUUUUCCCUUGGUGGUAGACUUUUUUUGUUGCUAUCAUAAUUCUGUCCACGAUCCCGGUUGUUCUAGAGCCUUAUCUGUACCCAGGAUGAGACUGCAAUAAUCCUACUAUCUUCUAAGAUAUCAUAAUAAUGUGACAGUAAAAUUUUAUUGAUUUCGUCCAUCUUAUCUUUGCAUGGUGGUGGACAUUUUCGUUGCCAUCAUAAUUGUUCUAAAGCCUGAUCAUAAUUUGAAGCGGGUCAAAGACCAGUUUGUCUACGAAGGAAACAAAUGUACUACUUAUCUGAUUCUGACCAACUGCAGAUCGGCAAUGGAAGUUUAAUUUAAGCUAGUGAAAGUUUCCCUUUUCUCCACGAAAGCACAGGGAAUGAAGGAGAAACAUCUGUCAUCACUGUAGAACAUACGCUCCAGUCAAAGGAUAAAAAAAUAAUAAUAAUCUGAUCCUUAAUUUGCAGCAGCAAAACGAAGCAAAAUUGGAGAAAAUUUGAUCUUCUCUUCUAUUCCGUACGUAAUUAUCUUUUUACUACCAAACACAUUAGACCAUUAAGGCAGCGAUGAAGGGGGGAAAAAUACAUUAGACUAGUAUCAUCUAUGGGUAAUGUAUGAAUUUUAUGAAUACAAGGGACGAUUUGCUAUUAAUACCUAAUUACAAGGGACGAUAUUAUGUAAUUAAGCCUAGUUUCAAUUUAUGGAUAAUAUCGCACUCAUUAAUUCCAAAUUGCAUGCUUAUGAAGGAACUUUCGUAGUUUCUUGACUUUGUCCGUCCAAUCAACAACCAGGUGAGGACAAAUUAUUACAUAACACGACCGUGAGAAGGCAUGUUGGUUCUUAAACGUAGGAUGAACUUAAUAGUUACUAUUUACUUAGAACCAAAAUUUACAGUCACAUGGAUAAAUUUGUUUUCGGAUGGAAAAGCUCUUUUACUUCUAGAAUGAAACUGUUAGUGAUCGCGCGCGCACACACAUAUAUAUAUAUUAAAGUAAAUCAUAUACAACAAUAAUAUAUACUACUCCAUUAUCAUCGUUAAAUUUAUAAUAUAUGUAUAAAAAUUAAAUUUUGUUGUAAAACUAAUAAAAUAAAUCACUAUAAUAUCAAGUGAAAUAUUAGAGAUAUUAGAGAAAGAAGUAGAGAAAUAGAGAGUGAUUAUCUUAUUAUUCCAACUAAUACAAAAGUACUCACAAAGGGUGUCAAUGUACCUUUAUAUAUAUGUAUUACAAAAUUAAAGUUACAUUAAUCCUAUUAAAUACCCAGGAAUAUGAAAAAGCCUAUGAAACGGUUUCUCCACUACAUGAAUAGAUUUAUGGAUUGUAACUUCUAUACACAAUGUAGCCAUAAAUUAUGAAUUAAUUCUAUUGGAAAUACAAAGGGACAUCAACAUUUUAGUUGUUUUAACGGAUAUUCAAAUUCAAUAAUUUUUUCGAGACAUAGUAAAAAGUAGUGCUUUAUUUAUGAUAAAUUUUCUCCUACAGGGAGAAAUAUAGUAGUGGCUCUUCUGGAGUUUUCAAUCACUUAAACACUACAACUGAUUGUGUUUGUUUCUCUUAUUGGAAUAUAGUGUAUAUAGUAACACUUAUUAAUGAGACACAUAUCAUUGUCACCAUAAUUCUUAUGGGACAAAUAUCAUCACCAUAAUCCUUUGAUCCCAAAUAUUUAACAUCCAUUUCUUCUUUAGGAAGAAAAGUCAAUUACUAUCAUAAAUUAAAUCAAGCAUCAUACACCUUCAGGGUGUUUAAAGAAAUUAGCCAUAUGAAAAUGCUAUUAUAAUUUUGAUUCCUCAUAUGUACUUCGAGACUUAUUUUUAGGAUCCUUACUUUUUUGUUCUCAUCAUUAUUAUCUCACUUCAAGUGGUAAUUUUUUCUCUUGUCAUGGUAAAAUAUAUAUUUACCAAAAUCAUAGUCAUGGUAGUAACCAUAACUAAUAAAUUGAAAUCUAGUCGCAUUCACUUCUAGGAAUGGACUAGAACUAGUAUGCAAUAAGUACAAAAUAUUUCUCAAAAUUUCUCUCAAUAUUGCUAUUACAAUAGCAUAUUUAAAAAAUAUGUAGAGAAUAUUAUUUUCAACUAAGAAAUAAUUCUAAACAUAGCAGAACUAUAUACUUGCAACCAUAAGUAAAUUUAUCAUACCAAACUUUGAAAUAAUGACCAUAUUUUUCUUUAAGUAUUUCAAAGAACAAGUGGAUCCUUAAGCAUAAUUGAUUUUCUAUAAUAGCAUAUCCAAAACUCAAUGCAUCAGAUAUAAGUAUUUAUAACAAAUAAUUCUAAAGAUAAAUAAGUAGAAUUAAAAGAUGAAAUAUUAUCUCAAAUAUGUCAAAGAGUAUAUGAUCUUGUUUAGUAGUUGCUCAAUAGUAGACACUUGUAUUUUGCAACCAUUCAAAGGUUAACCAUAAUAAAUUAAAAUAAAUUUAUAGGUUAGAAAUUUACCUCAAUAAAUAGACAAAUGUUGGUGAAAAAAAAAACAUGGGUAGAAUCUCGUGUUUCACUUUUACUCAAGGUAAAGUCUCCGUUUUCACCUUUUGUUCAAAAGUAGAGACUCGUGCUGAUAACGUAUUGUAAAAUUAAUAAAAUAAAUCACUAUAAUAUCAAGUGAAAUAUAGGAGAUAUUAGAGAAAGAAAUAGAGAGUGAUUAUCUUAUUAUUCUAACUAAUACAAAAGUACUCACAAAGGGUGUCAAUGUAUAUUCAUAAAUAGGUACUACAAGAUUAAAAGUACAUUAAUCCUAUUAAACACCCACUACUAUAAUGUGAAGAAACUUAUGAAACAAUUUCUCCACUACAUGAAUAGAUUUAUGGAUUUAACUUCUAUACAUAAUGUAGCAAUAAAUCAUGAAUUAAUUCUCUUAAAAAUACAAAAGGACAUUCACAUUUUAGUUGUUUCGUAACAAAUUUUAAAUUAUAACGAUGUACACCCUAAUCUGUAUUCUAAUAAGCGCUUGGACGACUAAUUUCAGAGGAUCGAUGCGUCCAAGGUACUGCUUAAAAGGAGAGGUCACUACACAGAAUAUUUUUUGCUGUUGACUUCACUGAAUUGAUGGGUUUUAUUUUCCCUCUUCUUUUAUUUUCCUCUUUGCUGCUUUUAGUAGAAUCAUAAAGCAAAGGUGCUGGUCCUUUUCUUGAGAAACUCAACACAUCAAACAGCUUGACGGUUUCAGGUUACAUAUCUCAGUCACAUCCGCUUCAACGGACAGAUUACAGAGGGAGGUGAAAACUGAAAAGGAAGAAAGGGGAGGGUGCGUCAAUCUCGCAGGAAGUUUUUAACCUUCCGACUACGAGCACGACCUGCCACCCACCACCCUUACUAGGACCAGGCACCCACCACACUUGCUCCAAGCGGCACAAUGCUCCCACACAAAGCUGUGUUUCAGCAGUGGGGGUUGUCAGCCAGUAAGGAGUAGCAAAGAUUCGACACGAGUCAAUUUACAUUAUUGACAUCCGCCCAUUACUAGUACAGUAGUACCUUUAUCCCCACUGCGUCAGGAAAAGCAACUACUGUGGCGAAGGUAUCAGUUUAGAUGAAAGAGUGGCAAGAUAUGCAUGGACUAGUUUCUUUAAACGCAUGUCUGUCUUUUAGAUAUUAAUCUCUAGUAGAUGUUUUUAUUAGUUGAUUAAAAAGGUAAUGUAUAUCAUAACGCAGUAGAUAUCAUGCAAAAGAUCAGAGAACAUCUAGAUCGAAAAGUGAUUAUGACUGCGCAUGAAUCCUCUCAGUGGUUUUGUAAAGUUGAACGAGUGCAAAUACUAAAAGGGUGCUUUAACAAAUUUAAAAUCUGAAAAUUGAAAUCUAAAAUCUAUAAAUUUACUAAAUUAUUGAAUCAAUAAAUACUAAGGGUGUGUUUGAUAGAUAGAAAUAUGAAAACUGAAGUUUGAAAUCUAAAUAUGUUAAGUGAUCGAAUCGUUAAAUAUUAAAUCCAGAUAGAAUAUAAACAUAUCAAAUGAUAAGUGAAUAAUUUAUCACUUAUUUUUUAAAACAAGUUUUGCGAAAGAUUCAGAGGGCAAGUUUUGUCUAGAAAAUUUAAAACCAUAGACGUUCAAAAUUUUUUUUUUUUUUUUAUCAAACUCGUUUGAAUAUACUAAAAUCUGAACCCAAUCUUAACCCGUUAAAUUUAAAUGUUAACUUGCGUUAUAAAAUAUGGGCAAAAUCUGAUACAGUUGAGUGUAUAUCACAAUAAGCGGUGAAUAGCCCAUCACUUAAAUUUCAAAUCAAGUUUUGUCCAAAAAAUUCAGUAACACUUAAUUAAUUCAAAUAUUUAAUUUUUUUGUUAUGAAAUUCUUUUAAACAUGUUAAGAUUUAAAUUUAUUAAAUUUAAGUGCUCAAUUGAAUUUAUCAAACACGUGCACAAAUUACUUUUGGCAACUUCUUUGAUUCAUUAUUAAAUUUAAAUGUUCAAUUGAAUAAUCAAACACAACCUCAGAUUACUUUCGGCAACUUCUCCUGUUUCUUACCUAAUAAUCAGUGGGUAUUUCUUCCUCAAAGGGAGAACACAUACAAUUUGGAAUAAACUUCUCCAAAAAAAAAAAAGGCAAAAAACGGACUACCAUUCUUUUGAAGAUCACGCGCACACCAUUCUUUUAGAAGAAAGUAAACUCAAAUCAGCGAAGUGAAUUGCUUCUAUUGGCAUCAAAUCGGUUCGCCCUUUACCAUCCGGGCCAUUAACAAACCCCACUAAGGAUCAGAAAAUCCCACAGUUCCGAAACCCUCACUUUUAAAAUCUCAAGAAUAAUACACUCUCUCUCCCACCACAUGGCGUCUCCAAUGCCCGUGGUCCUACUUCGUCAGCUUUCUGCACAUGAAAUGACCCAUUCUAUCAUACCAUUGUGCACAAAGACUAAACAACAGAAAAUUACAAAAGUUAUAAUUGGUGGGACAUAAAUGAACUUACUCCAUUGGUUGUGGAAGUACUGAUGGAGCAGAAUCUCUUUUUUAUGCGCCCAACUCACUUACGGGAGAAAUCAAUCAUGGUUUGCCCUAAUUCUCCGAUGAGCACUCAGUAACAGGUAUUGCAGGUGUCAUGCGUUUGUAAAAAUGGUAGUUGAAGUGGGAAAAGUGCUGAAAGUCAAAAUGGAUAAAUGUGUCAUCUAAGUUGAGACGCGCACAUUUGUUCUUCCGUCUACAAUGUGAACGAGUCUAUUAACGAGUGUUUAAUAGGCGGCACAUGUUAGAGGGAGGAUGGAUAAUCCAUCGGGCUCUCAAGACUCGGGUGCCCUCUCUUUAGUUUUAGAUGGUAUGAAUGUUACUGCACAAAAACCCGAUGGCAAGAUUAGGGCCAUGAAGAUUUUAAUCAGCAAAAUUCAUACAUGGACCCAAAUUAAGGGAGUUGAGAAAAAGAUUUCUCUGUUCGUUCUGGAUUUGUGAUGCUAUUGUCCAUUGAAGGUGGAAAGGGCUAGUUAGUGGCAGUGAUUAAUUUGAAAUGCUGACAUGCAACAAGCCAACAAAAUCCCGACGCCAUUGCUCUUUGAUUGUCAAUCCAGUGGGCCAUGUUUUUUUUUUUUUUCUUCAAACAAGAACGAUUAUAAUUGUAUAAUCUAUUUUAUUCUAGAGUACAGACCUGAUUAGAUCAAAAAAAUGCUUUGGAUAGGAUUUGAAUUCCCACCUAAAAGUUAUAACCCUUUAAGCCCCUCUUCAGUGGCCACUGAACCAAACUCAAUGGUUCAUUUGGGCUGUGUAUAGGGAUCGCCUUUUGGAAGAGGUGGCGGAAAAGUGUAAAGUGAUGGAGGCAAGGAGGUCAAUGUUUUUUUUUUUUUUCUGAAAUCAGAAUCAAGAUAUGUGAGCCUAAAGAGGCGACGAGUGCAUUAUUAUACCCUCUGAAUUUUUUAAAAAAAUAAGAAGCACUAUGCUUCUUGUGCGACGUACUGGGUGGAGUUUGAACUAGUAAAUGAGAGAGCUUUCCCUGACCAUUGCAUCAAGGCCCAAUGGUUGGAAAAGAUAUAUUUGAUUGUGCGUGUGUUAUUUUAAUCUCAGGCGGGGCUACCCCCUUCAGAAACAAGAAAAGAAAAUCCUUGCGUUUUCAUUUCUGUUAGUCCAGAAGAGCUAAAAAGAAAGUGGGCUGCAUUUACGUGCGAGAGUUAUCCUGAUUCACGGCCAGCACUGCCAUGAAUUGUGAACAAUGAGAUGUAUAUUCCGGUAUGGCUGAACCAUGAUUCCUGAUUCUCCAAGUUUCCCACACUAAUUCUCGGUUGGUUAGUUCUUUGAUAUAGGUAGCUGUUGGACUCUUGAAUCUUGGUUCCGUUAUCAGUCCUGAAUGUAAGUCUGGAAAUUUGCAUUGAGACAGCAAUUUAUGUCGAGCAUAGAUUUCAGAACAAAAAUCUGCAUUUCCUUUAUCCCCUUUGCUCCCUCUCCUGGUGGUGUCGCUUGUGCCAUGAUUGCUUGUGUCUUCUUCCUGUAACAAGCUUGCGUGGUGCUGGAAAUUCUUCGUGCGACAAUCUAGAGCAUUGAUCUAAUCUUCGUCUAAAUAAAAAUAUCCAUAUUUGCGCUUUACGACUCGUUACUGUCAAACUCAGCCAUACAACACGCAAGAACCUAUUCCAAGCAAGCACACAAGUCCAUGCUUGAAUUUGUGUCCCACAAAUUUGUCGCAUCACUAAAUGAGAGAAAACUGACAGCAAUACUAAAAUAUAUGGGAGGAACAUUGUAUAGGUAACCAAAAUCAAAACUGCCGCUCGAGAUGAGAACCUGAUCCAGCCAAGGAACGUUCAGGUGAAAACAAGUUCUUGUAUUAGAUCAUCAAAUAUCAAGUCCUCCAGCCCGAUCCCCACGCAUUCUGCUUCAAACUGAAUGUUCAUCCAGCCAUCGCUUUUUGAUAAAUCAUGGCUUAUCGCAUUAUCACUAUCAAGUGAUUCGUCCACAUCGGGCCUUAGCCUUAAGUACCAGUUUAUAUCUGUCCAAACGUCCUCCAGAACGUGGUAUCCCACAGGCAUCGGAUGGACAUGAGACCGGCAAGUUAAAGGCAUUGGCCAGUAAGAAAAUGCUCUCUCGUAGAUUUCUAACAGUACCUCGUUGAUUAAAUCAAACAAAAGCAGAUGCUUACAGCUGCCGCCUUCUUCAUUUCCAGAACAAUCAGGUUGAGCUACUAAACAACCUUCUACUUCCUCAAACACUGACGGGGCCACUGGCUGCUCCUCAGAAUGCCAUUUCCCAAGGAACUCGGUUCCACUGAAGCCAGACAGCUCCAGCACAUCUCUAACAUAAUUGAAUUCAGCCUUAUUUUUCAUGUCAACCUGGACGUGCAAUAGAUUAUUGUAGGAUUGCUUCAGCGAAGUUUCUACUUGCUCAACAUUAAUAUUGCUUUCAUUCAAGCCGAGGGGAUCCAUCCUGAGAUCAUUCUGCAGGUUUAAUAAAGAAUCCUCUUCCCCAGGAAUCGGGACCGCCGGCCCAGGUUCUAAAUCUGGCCUCGACCAAAAACAGAUAAGAACGCGUCAGACAGUAAAUUAAAGUUCAUAAUCCAGUCUAUACGUAUGAUAAUUACUUUAACCAGGUGCUUCUCAUAGUUAAACUCUACCACUAUUCAUAGGUUUAGUAUUUAGUGAUGCAGUUAAAUUUGGGUGCUCUUCGUAAGGGCAAUCAGACUUUUGCCCAAUUUUUUGGAUGAAAACAAGAUGGUCUUCACUAUGGAAAAAAUAAAUUUUAAGCUCUAAAGGGUGAGAGAAAGGGCAGAACUGAGCACAAUCAAAAACAUUUCAAGCUGUUACUUGAGAAAAGGAACAACCUUCAAAACAUACCUUCAGAAGCAUUUGCAUCCUCCUCGAACUUAGAGUCAUGUCCAGAAUCCCUUGUGGGAUGAAUAACGUCGUCAUGGUCCAGUGUUCUGUCCCUUCUCUUGGAGCCAGCCAAGUCAGGCAAAGAGUCACCAACUUCGGGGACUUUUUCCUCACUAUCGUUUUCGAGAAGGCCAUCUGACUGAAUUUGUUUUUCUGAAGUUACAGGUUUUUGUUCAGAAAUACUACUUUUUUCUGUAUUUUGGUUUCCACCUAAAAGAGGCCUGAUUGGCAUCUCCAAAGAACUUGUCGUGGCAGAUCUCUCAAUCCGAGAAAAGGAGUAUGACCUGAGAUCCGGUAACGAGAGGAUCCUUCCCAGGCAUACAGGACUGCCAUCCAGAGGUGAAUGGGUCCCUGUUGUUUUCAACUCUGAUCGAUCGGGCGUGCGACUGUUUUCUUCUCUGUUAAAACAUAACUCAAGUAGUGGGUUAUAUCUACUUAAUGAUUCAUUGAAAGAUGAUAUUCUUCUAAUGCCGUGCAGUCCAAUCUUGCCAACUGCAGAAUUUUGCUCGUUCCAAGAACCACUCCAACUCCGAGGAAUGCAUUUAUUCCAAUUCAAUGUAACUACAUCCUUGUUUACGUCAUCCUCUUCCUUAGUAUCUUUUGGAUACCCGUAAGGAAUUUUAUGGAGGACUGCAUCCAUGACAAUUCUUUGCCUCUCCUUUCUGCUCUCCUUGAUUGCAUGUUUGAUUUUUUGCCUAAGAUUUUUGAAGCGUUUCAUGAUAAGUUUAUUCAUAUGAUGGGUCUUGAACUCCUUCAGUGAAUCUAAAGAAGCAUUAUCCUGGGGACAGAGCUGUUUUGGGUCUUCCGCCUCCGUGCAUUUGCCUUUUUUAAUUGCCAAAAUCUGGUCCAGGUCUUGAGAUGCUAAUGCAUUCGAAGUUAGGUCCUCUUCAGUUUGAGAUUUACGUUCCCCUUCUUUACAAGUUCCCAAUUCCUUCUUGCACCUGGGACUGUUGGAUGCAGAAGGUCUUUCGCCUGAGGAGCCAGGCACAGGAAAUGACACAGACUUCGUUAACCCUGAUCUUAGAGUGGAUGCCCUAUGGCUGUGUAAAUGAUGCGACAAUGAUGAAUUUGGAUCUUGUAAAACUUUCAGGAAUAACUCCUCCCUUAAGUUGAGCAAAUCCAGCGCAUCCAGAAAGAUCUUUGACUCUUGGAGUGAAGCAAUUUUACUCGGCUCUAUUGCACAUAUAAACUUGUCCUGAAGAAGAGUAUGAUCUUUAACUGGUUGCUUCCCAUGCUCAUUAACCUCACUCUGCCUCAAGUAAUUCUUAGUAAGCAUGGCAGCACACAAGUGACAUGUCCUGCUCUGUGCGACUGAUUCACCACAAAACUGUGGCGGAAGCGGAUCCAGUAAGAUGGAAACAGAAGAAUGCAGUGUAUUUUCCUGGUGAUCCAGGGACUCAUCGUUGAAGCUAGUUUCAACACAAGGAUCUAUACUGGAGACAUCUAAAUGAUGGAUAGAAGGUUUCCGCUCCAAUGGCAAUCUUGUGGGAUAGGAAGAGCUUCGGCGAUGACGGAUUCUUCUUCUAUAGACCUCUUCAGUAAUCAAGGCUUUUAUUCGAGAUUUCAUUGAACUUUUAUGCCCUGAACUAGAGUCUGAAGAUUUUGCAUGAUCCUGAAAGUAAAAAUCUCUUAGAACAUUUUCCAAAAAUGGACAACCUUCCUAUCCUUAUCCUAAUCCUAGCAAUGACAUUUAUAAGUACCUACGACUAAAAUUUUAUGUAUUAAAAUAGAAGUGUAGAGAAAAAGACUGCGAAUCUAUCUUCAAAUUUUGCUGCCCGGCAAGAUAUAUAGUACGUACAGAAGAUUUAGCAGUUUCAGCUUCUAAUUUUUCUUGCGGUUGCCCAGCAUUUGUUGUGUUCAGCUUACUUCCUGGAUCUUCAACCACUGAAAAGUAGCAAUCCACAUAAAUUUCAAUAGCAAGACCAAAAGUUAAAACGUUCUUUGCACGCCAAGAUCAUGAAAUUGUGCAGAUCCCAUGUACUAAAAUUUGCGUAGUAACAACUGCAUUGCCAGCAUCAAUAAGGCCACGAAUGGUAUAUUCAAACUUGAGACGUUACAUUUGUCACAAUAGCAACUUCACUUGCAUAUGUACUGAUGCUAUGGUCGCAGAAGGUCACAUAGUUAAACAUGCAUGCCGACUGAAGUGACGAGAAAAGAGCACUUAGAAAGACGGGGGCCUAUCUGAAACUACACGAGUAACCUGGCAAAAAAAGAGCAAUUAAGAGCCAAGUGAACGGGCAGAAUUAAGUACCUACACCAUUUGCCAAUUUGCCACCGCUGCUUGUUUUAUGUACAAGCCUUUUCCUGACAUGGUGCCACUUGUGGUUGUUGAAAUGAUGAAGUAUGCCUUUCAUACAUCCUGGAUUACUAUGCUUCAAAGUGAUGGAAGGCUCUUGCUGUGGAAUGUUCUUUCCCAUCUAUUACAAUUGGAUCAGCUUUAGUGGUGAAAUGGCUUGGAGUUAGAAAAUGAUCAGGUCAACAGUUGUACUGGCACGCUCUGAGAACCUGAUAGAAAAUUAUGAAAACCGACAUUAACGACCAGAAAAUGGAUCAUGAUAAUCGUCGAACAUAAAAACAAUAGGGAAAAAAAUCAUAUUGUUAAUGGCCCAUAAUCAAUAUAAUGCAUCCAACGGUUUAUCAUGUCUUAUGAAGCGGUUUCCCGGGAAACAGAGGAAACCUGCCAUUAGGGUGUGCUGCAAUUUUUUUGCCCCAAAACGUGGCUGCGUUGAACAAUAUAAGCAUUGUUGAACAGUCACCGCAUUCAUCAAAACACAAAAUGAUAUGCCAUAGUACACAGCACAUAAAGCAAUGGAAACUGGAUUAAACACAUAUUGGUUGGGGACUACAAAAAUUAACCCUUAAGAGGCUCCGUUCCUUUCCCAGAUGAUCAAUUGUCAGAUUGAGAUGCCUUUCAGACGUAAAAAUUGCCAGGUUUUCUUUUUGGGAUACCUGUGAAAUGAAGACGAAUAAAGAAUAUGAGGUUGUUUUUGUUUAUUGAUUGGUGGACAUUUAAGAAGUAAAGAAGCCGGAGAUAUUUAGCCAAGUAGCAAUAAAUCGGGGGAGAAAAAAUGGUCUAGGGCCAUUUUCCUUUCUACUGAUUGCCUUCCCAAGAUCCUAAAACUACUGGGCUUCCAAAAUUUGGCGCCAGUUACCCGUCAACCGCCCUUCUCCGCAGUCGCCUAUUUCGGUCUCAUGUCGCUUGCCAUCUGUCCACUCUCUCUUUUUUAAUGCAUUUUUGUAAUCUAGAUGUAGAAUAGUGAUUUUUUUUUUUUUCAAUUCCGUCCAUAUUUGAAUAGUGAACGUCAUUGAAAAGUAAUUAUAAUCAUCAAAUGAGUUUUCAAACGACUAAAAAUAGAAAGUUUCUACCUUAUUUGACCCUAAAAAAAAAAAAAAAAAACUUCGCGAGAUACUAAGGUAUAUUCUAAACUAGUGUUAAUGACACACCCACUAUGCUUACAAUUUAAAAAUAAUUAAAACAUAUAAAUUUUAUGUGAAUUUUUUUACGUAAAUCAAAUUGAUAUAAAAUUUUCAUUAAAGAACUUUGGUUUAUAAUGUUAUAAGAAUUUGACAGUUAGACUAAGGUGGUUAUGAGUAGUUAUAAUGUCAAAAUAUGAUGAAGUGAUUAGAGUAAAAAUGGAAAUUUUGUAAGGAUUGAGUUGCAAGUUCAAAAAAUGACCAAAAUUAUUUAAACUAACAACAACUUCUCUGGCAUUAUAUGUUUUAUAGAUUAUUUAGAAUUAAUUUAUUAUUGUUUUUAUAAUUGUUUAAAAUAUUGCUUUUAUUUUAUUUAUAGGCUAAAAGAAAGCUAAUCGUCAAUAGUGGCCAUGAGAAUGCUUUUGAAAGCAUUUACUGAUUUUUCAAAACGUUCGAAAGAAAAAUACUGCACCUUUUUCUAAGCAACUUUCGCUAUAAUUGUUUUCUACGAGUAACUGAAAAAAAAAAAAAAAAAAGAACGGGCCAUGAGAUUAUUGCUAAGGGGGCUGACAAAGGUUGUGAUGAUUUUGUGGACAAGUGUGGGUUGGUUGCCGUGUCAAUGUUGGGCUUCGGGUGGGCCUUAAACUCUUCUGAGAUGAAGCUGACAAGCACUAGGGUUGGCACGGUCGGGUAACCAUCCCUUGGAGCAUUUGCUUGAUUUGACCCACACUUUUAGGGAUCAGCCUGAUCCUUAUCUGCCUCAAAUAUUAGCGGAUGCUUGGUUAUCAAAUACCCGCUAAGAUAGGAUUAGAUCAACGGGUAUUCGACUCGUCCGACUUAUCAUUUAAUUUUUUUAAAAAAAUUAUUUAUACUAACUUAAUUUUAUGUUUUACAUAUUCAUCUAAAAUUUAAUAAAGAUUUUUCUCAAAAAAGUCUCCUACCAAGAAACCAACAUGUGAAGAAAAAUGAAAAAAAAAUUCAAAAAAAUUCAAAAUCAAUAAAAAUUUAAAAUAAGUAGCACAUUUUUUAAGAUGUAUUUCACAUUAAUUAAACUUUUUUCUAAAAAAAUAUAAGAUCAUGACCUUUACAAAUAAAUUUUGUAAAUAAAAUAUAGUCUUCCAUAUCUGUAAUGCAAUUUGUUCAAUAAAAUUGCUUAUUUAACUCUAAAAAUAUAUUAUUUUAUAGUAUGUGUAUAAAAAUAAAAAUGUAUACAUGUUGGACGGGUCGGGUACUCGUAGAUUUUUAAUUAUGUGACCCUAACCCGUUCCGCAUUUAAGUGGGUAUCCGACUCUCUUUUGACGUGAUCAAAUAAUACUAAUUGGGUAUUCUAAUUUUUUGAUCGAAUAUGACAGAUUUUCAAGCUAGCAGGUAUUUUUGUCCACCCCUAACAAGCAGUAGGAGUAGCCCAUCGAAAGUCUUCCCGUUUGAGCUGCGAUCUCUUGUAAAAACUUUUCUGGAAAGAUAUAAUUUAAAAAAAAAAAAAAAACUUCUAAUGUUAGCAAAGAGUCGUUACAAUAUAUGGUGCCAAACCAAAAAAAAAAAAAAAAAGAAGUUCUAAUGUUAUCAUGACCAACGCAUAUGAUCUAAACGUAGGUCAUAGACAGAUACAUUUUUUGACUAGAACUUUUAAGUUACUUUUUAGCUGCAAGUUGGGGCAUCAAAUCUCAUGACUUACGGUUUAUAUAGAGUUGUUCUAGCCCAUAAGAGCGGGUUAGUUCUGUGUAGGUUCUCCUUAGAAGCAGGUUAGCAAAAAUUGUGUUGAUAAAAUAAUUUAAAAAAAAAACACUUAGCAUUCAAAAACCGGUAGAUGGAGCUAAGAUUAACUUGUAAUCCUCGUUAAUGGAUAUAUAUAUUUCUUGCAGAUGUGGCUAUAUGUGUUUUUCUUGCGGAUUACUGUUUGCGUAAGCAUACAUAGAGUACACCAAGUAGUAAGGAUGACAAAUGGGGUGGGGUGGGGCGGGGGCAAAAUAUUUCCCCCGACUUAAAAACGGGGCGGGGAAUGGAAAAACAUACACCCGCCUCAUUGCCCGCAUACAAUAAAAAAAAAAAAAAUAUACAUAUAUAUAUAUAUAUAUAUAAUACAAUUCUAAAUUUUCUAAAUUGCACCUUUACUUAUAAGUACAACGCUAGUUAGUGUCAACGGCCGCCGCAACAACUGAAAAAUUUUUUUGGACUAUUGUUGAUUUGUUUCUAAUGCCUCCCCCCAAAGACUAAGCUAUCCAUUUCCAAUCUGUUUUGCUCCUAACCCUUUUUUAUUUUGAUUGAUUUUCUUCCUGCGCACUGAUUGUAACUUGACUUGUUAUGCUUUAUUUCCAUUUUGACAGCUUUUUAAUCUUAUUUAACAUUGUUUACAAUUGUAUUAUUAUUUAUGAUAAGUUGAUUUUUUCCACGCAAGGAAAAUGGGACAAGGACGGAGCGGGGGAUGGAGGGCAAGAGGCGGGAGAUGGAAGGAGUUAUUUGACAACGGGGCAGGAGGUGGGGGAAGGAUCCCCCGCCCUAUUGCCACCCCUACCAAGUAGUAGUCUGGGGUGGAAGUUCCAAAGUCGAACUAAGCAAAUGGAGUUGGGAUUUAACAGAUAGAAGCUCAUGGUUCGGAUUUAGAGCAUGUGCAUAGCGGAAUAUAUGUUUACCGUUCAAAUUUAUUUGAUUAUUUUAACGAAUUUAAAAUUUUACUUAAAUUUGAUUUGUUUAUUUGUCAAACUAAGUUUUAACUAAUUUUUUUUUUAUCAAGUUUGAAUAUUAUAUAAUAUAAAACACCGUUCAAAUUUUAUUUGAUUAAUUGGCGAAUUAAGUUCGAACAAAUUUUUAUUAAGUUGUACUCAAUUCGAAUAUCGGGUAGUUUAGUUAAUCUUUCCAUGGAAAAUUAGAAAGACUACAUACAGAAAGGGGUUUUACCGGUUUGUCCAUCAUUUAUUAGCGGCCAGCAUUAUUUACAAGACCUGUACAUCUGUAUUCUAUCAUUCCAAGCCCAACAAUGCACAAAAAGGGUUGAAAUUUUUGGUGAGUCCUUUAACUUUUUUUUUUUUUUUUAAUGUUAUUUGACUCGGGAUAAAAGUUCUUGGACUUGAGCGUUUAAAAAUUCUUUUGACUUUCAGAAACAGGGGGGGGAAAAAAAGCAAAUGUGAAAAUUUGGUUUGGUCUUCCAUGCAGAUCGUUGGUGCAAUGGAAAACGUCUCUCACCCAACGAGGGGAGGCGACACGUAAAGGAAGUUACGCCAGCUCAUGCCUGCCGGAGAAAAUGAUGCCUUGUCCGUUGAUAUUAGAACUACUAAUUGCACGUGAAUUGAUUAAUUCUGCUUAAUAAGAGUACAAGUCACAAGGGCCAAUAAAUUUGGUUCAGUGCCUCCUCUCUGACUCUGCUGUUGUCGGUCCGUUGUCCACACAGUUGAAUUCAAACUUUUCACUUUUGUUCAAUCCGCGGCUGUUAUAGUGUGUAUUUCUCCGGGAGAAUGGAUCAAAGCACCAACUGUUAAUAUACUACACUACUAAGAAAUGUUUAAUGAAUGAUCCGAGAGAUUGACUGGUUAAACAAACACGAUUGAUUGCUGACCGGGAAACCACCUGUUAAUUUCCCAAAUCUUAUAGUAAUACUAAUAAGUAGUAGUACUACUGCUAGUGAAAAUAAUUGCCUUAAACCUAAAAGUCAAACAAUGCAUUCAUGUUUUUUGUCACCUUCAGCUGUCUCUCCAUUGUCAAUGUCAAAGAGAUUUAUUCUUGUACGUUCUUUGAAUUCGAUCCACGUUUGAAAUCUGAACCUGACAGCUCUUUUGCUUAAAAUCCAAGGAAAGGCUUCAACAAACACGCCAUUCGGCAUCAACUCUUUCGUUUCUUAGGCCGUUGAACGUGGCGCUUAAGCCCGACUGACACCUAGCUGAUCGUUUUGUUUUGUUUUUUUUUUGGCAUGGUCGAAAUUAUAACACUGGGAGUGUUUGGAUACCAAAAUUAUUCCAAAUAAUUGGUUUGUUUGGAUAGAGAAUUAUUAGCCAAAAUUUAUUUGCUUACAUCAUCAUUACAAUUUUCAACACACCUUUUUAUCUCACAUACAUCACAUCACAUCACAAAAAAUGCUACAGUAAAAAUAUAUCAAAUAAUUUACAAUCCAACCUACCUUUUUAUAUUCCCAAUUACCUUUUUAUCUCACAUAUAUCAUAUCACAAAAAGUGCUACAGUAAUUAUUCCAAAUAAUAUUUCAAAUAAUACACUAUCCAAACAAACCCACUAUCGCAUGGAGGUUCAAAUGAGUGUUUAAUAACACAUGGGUUCGAAAUUAUAUAUCAACCCGUUACUCCUCUCUUGUACGACACAGGACUCUUAGCAGUAUACACAUCGGUAUAUGAACUAAGGGUUGGUUUGGUUCAUGAAAUAAUUUAGAAUUAGAUUAAUCAUCCUGUGUCAUCCCAUGUUUGAUUAUAUUUUAUAUAUGAAAUGGCACAUCCUAUUUGACCAAAUUAAUUCCCUAUUCAUGGGAUAAAAUAAUCUCAUGGGGGAGAUGGGAUUAGUCAUCCCGAGAUGACUAACAGAUAGAAUGAUAAAAUUUUAGAUUAAUUUAUCCUUAUAAAAAAUACAAAUUUAUACUCUUAUAAUUAUGUAAUCCUACUCUCCCGUAAUAAUAUAAUAUGAAUGGACUAUUUUCCCCUACUAUUUUAAUUUUAUGGAUGAUUUAGAUUCAAAUACUGCAUUUAAUUAUUUAGAGUUCCAAUUCAAGAAAGUUGAAAGGAUAAGCAAGGGUAAAUUUGGAAAAAAGUUCAUAAAUGCUUUAUUGAUAUCAUAAAAUGAUAGAUAAAAAGAAACAAUGGAUUAGGACAUCUAAUAAUGAACGGAGGGAGUGUUACAUAACUAUACUCUCACAUAAUAUUAAUAUCAUAAUAGAUAUAAUCCGCAGAAACAGUCAUGGAUAAUUGUUCUUCACAGAGGGUCCCCUAAUUUUCAUGUCGGAAUCUGCGUGUGUUUGGAUACGAGGGACCAGCACGACAAUUCCAAAGGAAGUGUUUGGGGUUUUCACGGCAAUUAGGCGAGGCAGGCAUUGACAAUAGAAAUGAAUUUAUUAGCUCCAAAAGAAAAAGAAAAAAAAAAUGCAAAAAACUCAACGACCUUCGCAAAAGAUAUAAUUAUAAUAUGAUUAUACACACAAUUACAGUGCCCCUUUCGUCGUGCUGCACUAUUACAAUAGAAACACUUUAGGAAAUUAAUUCAUAUUUGUGGAGAAGAGAAGACUUAAAAAGAAGACUCGCAAACAGCUUUAAAAAAAAGAUAAAACAAUGCAAACACGUCAAGAUGUUAAGUCAAAUUCUCAGGCUCACUCGCAGUCACACAAAUGCGGGGCACUCUCGUGUGAUUGAUGAUCUGUUACGUGUUUAUUAUUCCUUCGUAUGUGCGUUUUCUUAGAUAUUUUUUUAAACUUUAACAGAUGUCAGGUUUAAAACGGCCACGCGUAAUACCAGGAUUCCAGAUGACAAAGUCAAGAGGCUGAUGUGGCAUCGAAUGAUUCGACUGCAGUUUGGACGUGGGAUCUUGCCUCUUCAACUCUCUCAUCUAUCCCAUCUAAUGUAUCUCGUGGUCAGGGGAUUUUGUGGGGAGUUGGGAGGGCCAGAGCGAAUUGUAGCCCUUUGACUUUGAAUAGCUUGCCAGUUUUCCAACUUUCUCAACGGAGGGAAACAUUUAAUUACUUAUAUUUGUUUUAAUUUUAAAUGCAAGCAGCAGUAUAUUACUAGUAUAUUUGAGUAGUCAGCACAGCAGCACCACCACUAUAAUCUAUAUAUUACAGACAGUAUAAUAUUAGUAUUUGAUUAUUCAACCCCACACGGCUUGUUAUUGACAUUGUAGCAGGGAAGCAGGCGUUUUUUUUUUUUCUUAUCGAUGCAGGGGUGUUCGGGUCAAAAGAAAACAAGCGCUUACUUUUCUGCUUCAAUUCCCAAAAAAAUACAAAGUACUCCCCAAUCCAAUCCAAUCCAAUCAAGAAAAUUGCAAAUCCUUGCUGUAGCCACCCGAAUUGAAAAUCUUUUUCAUUAGGACUGCUGAAUUUUUUAUUUUUUGAUUAAGAAAUGUUCGGUGGCAGGAGGAGUGGUAUUUAUUCUCCUCCCACCACCACUACAAUUGAAAAGCGGUACCGCCGCCGCCACCACCACCACCUCCACCUCCUGCUAUGAAUUUAUAAACUCAGAGUCAACUCCUGCUGUUCAGAAGCCAUUGAGCAGCCCACCAAUUGCAGCAUCUGAAUAAACAAAUAUGCUUGUCGCCAAAGUACUACUACUCCUCCUUCCUUAGCAAUACGGCCUAUUAUUAUAUUACGACUCCUAUAUAUUGUUGUCAUCAUCAUUUUUUAGCUCCCAAAGUCAACUCUCCACCACCCCUUUCACUACGUCCCAAUCCCCAACGCUUUAAUUUUGUCCUUCUCUGUCAUUUGAAACGAAAAGUCGUCUCUCUCUCAAAGGCUCAAAUUCACCUCCAGCUCUCUGCUUUUCUCUUUCAAAUUCAUAAAACUAGGCGAAAGAAAGAAAGAAGAAGAAGAAGCAAAGCAAGUAAUUUUAGUAAGCAGCGAUUUUGUCUACUCCCCUACUUCCUAAGCUCAAUCAGCUCUCGCCGCUGGCUGCAUGGUGUGAAAGGGUCCUCGGCUCCGACGCGUUUGGGUUCUUCUCAACAGACAUACUAGUCAAUCACGAUGGGAAACGGCAUAGCUAAACUAAACCGCUGCUUCGCCGGAGAUGCUGGAGAGAUAUCCCGCCGCCAUCAUGACAUCGCCGUCUACCUUUCCGACCCACUGGACGAAGGCCUCGGCCAUUCCUUCUGCUACAUCAGGCCCGACUCCUCUUCCAAGACCAUCCUUUCCUCCUCCUCCGACUCCUCUACUACCACCAGCCUCGGCGCCGCCUUCAGAACCAUCUCCGGGGCCUCCAUCUCCGCCAACACCUCCACGCCUCUCUCCACCUCCCUCAUCGACCUCGGCCCCUACAACGCUUCCCUCGACAAGGCUGCUGCUUUCGAGAGCUCUAAUUUGUUUGCCUCCAUUCCCCUCCAGCCCAUUCCCCGGAAAUCAAUUUCCUCGGUCAGGUCCGGCCCCAUUCCCCGGGUCGCCUGCCCCGGCUCCGGCCCCAUCGAAAGGGGUUUCUUGUCCGGCCCCAUUGAGCGGAGCUUCAUUUCUGGGCCCCUGGAGAAUCAGGAGGAUCAGUUUCAGAGGUACAGGCCUAAACCCAAGAAAUGGGCUUUAAUUAGAAAUUUCAAGAAAGUCAUGUCCAAAUCUUUUUGGAGUUCUGCAGAAUUGAGCUGGGUUGAGAAAAAUAACGAGAAUGGCACGGUUAGCGGUAGUAAUAGCAGUACUAGUAACAAUAAUCUGAGCUGUCGUUUGAGUUUAGCUGAUGAUCACAAUUUUGAUGAUGGAAAUGAAUCUUUUGGGAGCCAAAACGUGCAAUGGGCUCAGGGGAAGGCUGGCGAGGAUAGGGUCCAUAUUGUGAUUUCCGAUGAACGGGGUUGGGUUUUUGUUGGGAUUUAUGAUGGAUUCAACGGCCCCGAUGCCACCGACUUUCUGUUGAACAAUCUCUACUCCAAUGUUUGUAAGGAGCUCAAGGGAUUGUUAUGGAAUGACAAGUCAGAGUCAUUUGGCCGGGAAGAAGGGGUCUAUCGGGAAUUUGUUCCAUCAGAAGGAAUGGAGGUUAAUGGAUUUAUUGAUACGGGUGGUGACUUGAAGAUGUUUAAUAAUUUGGGACCAGAUGGUGUGGCGGGUAUUAAUCAUAUGGAUGUGUUGAAAGCAUUGUCGGAGGCUCUGAGGAAGACCGAGGCGUCCUAUUUGGAGAUAGCAGACAUGAUGUUGGUGGAGAACCCUGAGUUGGCUCUGAUGGGAUCUUGCGUUUUGGCGAUGCUGAUGAAGGGUGAUGAUGUUUACUUGAUGAAUGUCGGGGACAGCCGAGCAGUUUUAGCACAAAAUGGCGAACCUGAUCCAUGGUUUGGGAAGGUACGGAAGGAUUUGGAAAGGAUAAGGGAGGAAAAUCAGAAUGAUCUUGAAGCAUUUGAUGGCGAUGAAUUCGGCAGUCUGCAUCAUUUGACUUCUCGCCAACUCACCGUGGAUCAUGCUACCUCUGUAAAAGAGGUGAAAAUUCUGUUCAUGCUUCGUAGAGAGGGUACAAAUGAUUCUCCUUUUAGUCAAUUGUUUCGAACAUGUACUGAAUUUUGCUAGCAUGCGAAUUUUCAGGAAUCUCAGAGAAUUAGAAGUGAGCAUCCAGAUGAUGGUUUGGCGAUCGUGAAUGAUAGAGUGAAGGGUUCCUUGAAGGUUACUCGGGCUUUUGGAGCUGGCUUUCUCAAGCAGGUACUUCUGGUUACAAAUUAUACGCUUGUCUCCCAGUGUUCUUAAGUCUUAAUGCACCCAUAUUAACGCAUACUGCAAUUUAGUACUAAUUCUCUGUGACCUGCAAAGGCUGUGUUGAAUACUAUAAUUUAUACAAGCUUGAAAUCUGCAAAAGAUGAGGAGCAGUUUCUAAUUGCAUAGUUCUGCAGUUAAGUGAGUAAAAGAUCUAGAUGGUGAACAAUUCGGUCUUGUUCGCUCUAGCAAUCUGAUGUGUGGUUCAUUUUUUUUUUUCUUUUUUUUGUUACAGUGUUUCUUUUUAUACUUUACAACUUCCAAUGCCAGUGGAAUUUUCAACUCGAACACGAAUUUGAGAAAAAACUUCAAAUUAACACGGAGAAUCCGUUUUUUGUUCUGUCACUCUGCAGCCCAAGUGGAAUGAUGCACUUUUGCAAAUGUUCAGAAUCCACUAUGUUGGAACUUCGCCCUACGUCACCUGUUCACCGUCUCUUUUUCACCAUAGACUCUGCCCAAGAGACAGAUUUCUGAUCCUUUCUUCAGAUGGCCUCUACCAGUACUUAACCAACCAAGAAGCUGUCACUGAAGUUGAGAAUUUCAUGUCUUCAUUUCCUGAGGGGGAUCCUGCACAACAUCUCGUUGAAGAAGUGUUAUUUCGAGCUGCUAAGAAAGCUGGUAAAUCCUUGUUCACAAAGACAUCUUUAUGGCAUUAUGUAGCAUCCCAAAAAAGCCAAAAAAAAAAAAAAAAUUUCUGAUAAUCUCAAUUAUCUUGUUAUACUGCAGGCAUGGACUUUCAUGAAUUGCUUGAUAUACCACAAGGGGAUCGAAGAAGGUACCACGAUGAUGUCUCCGUUAUUAUAAUAUCCUUCGAAGGAAGGAUUUGGCGUUCAUCCGUGUAAUUAGAAACACGUAUAGAAAGUACAGAAGCUAUAUAUAUUCUUUUAUCCACAUUUUCCUUAGUGUUCAUAAUAUACGGCUAGGCUCGCAGACCAAAUGUAUCUACUUGGGGGAAGAGAGGGGGGGCAAUGUAUAGGAGGAUCAACACCUCUCCCCCUGUUAAAAUGUGAUAGGACGAUUGUGAAAUUUUGUAAUGAAUAGCCUUGAGGUUUGCAUUUUCUGGAGAAGUGCCUGGUAUAAGCAUCCAUGUAGAGAGUAAUAUAUUCGUUCAUUUUUUGGUUACCCCAUCAAAUUUGAAUCCUUUACAGCAUCCUCCUUGCUUCAAAUUGCUAUUCCUGGCCACGAUCAAGCAUCUGGAUGUAGCGGCUACUAUCACUUUUAUCUCGUGUUCAAUGAAUCCAGUGGAAAAUGAAUUGAGUAAAGAAAAAAGCGUUGGUAAAUUUUGGGUGCCAUUCCACUUUGGUUGUUCUUGGUUUUGGCUAUCCUAUCUUUCAAGCCAAAGCCAUCUCGGGAUAUUUGUAUGACUCGGUUAAUCUGUGUGUCAAGAACCAUUUCGAUACGUUUUAUGUUGUGCAGGCAACCAGCCGCAUGGGGAAGCCUAGAAAUGCUGCUGUCGAUAUUUUAAUUAAUUAGUAAUUACUAAUAAUGUGUUAAUGCAUCCUGAGUCGGAUGCAGUUGUCAGGGGAGGAUGGUGAUAGUCAAUUAAUCUCAUCAUUUGGCAUUAGCCAUUCACGCGUUCUUAUCAUGACUUUUGUUAUGAUUAUCAUUGUCAAUGCAAUGGGAAUUGUAAUUCAUAUUUGCGUUGAAAGCCGGAGAACACAGCCGAGCCGGAGAGGAGAUCCGUUUGGACUAAUUCUUCUAUUUUCCAGCGGUCAAACUCAAGGGCUAAUAGUGAGUAACACAGACUUUUUCUGCGCAGUAGAAAAGGUCAGAAGCCGUGACUUUUCUGCACGAAUUUCUUCAGAGAAGCAGAACAAUUUUCUCUUCCACAUCAAAAACUAAGACAAAUUACCUGUGACAUUAGUUAAAAAUAUUCAACUGCGUGGCCAGAAAGAAUCGAACCAUAACCAAAGCAUACAUAUAUGCAAAGGAAGAGGAAGGGUUGACCGCCACUGGCAGACAGAGAGCAAUACUACUAUAAAUAUUUGCACAUGGGGGGUUGUGGGUUUGAUUCGAGGAUUGGUUAGAGGAUAACGUAAAAGAUUUUUGAUUUGUUGGGUAGGUUUCUAAUUAAUGAAAAGGAAACAGUUUGCCCAUUAAAAAUGAAAAGUAAAGAAGGAACAUGUUAGCAGUACAUGAUUUUGGGGAAGUCAAAGUCAGAAACCAACCGCAGAAAGAUGACAGUUGACAUCAAGGGUUCAAGAACACACCAUAUGUCACGAAGACGAACAAACAACUAAAAAAAAAUCCUCUCUCUCUGUUUUUUUGUUUGGGACAGUUUGGUUUACUUGCCACUUUAGUUUUUUUGGUUUGUGGUUUUGGUAUGUUUACGACUUCUCUGUCAUCUCGUGACCUGUUAAACUGACCAAUUAAUGUGGAAAGGGUUUAGUUGGAGUUGGAAGAUACAGUACCAUUCUCUAUCUAUCUAUCUAUCUAUCUAUCUAUCUUCUUCUUCUAUAUAUCAAAUGUCGGAACCAGUAGCAGAAGUUAGUUGUCAAGUGGUAAAAGCGAUUGGUUGGUGAUGCUUAUAUUUCAUUUUAUUUUCUUCUAAAGGAACCAAAUUCAGGACAGAAAAAGGGAAGUUUGAACUCAUAAUUUUCCUGCAAAAUUCAACCAGAAAAAUUGGGGGAGGAGUCAAGAAAGCCUACUCAUUACUUGUAAACACAAGUGAAAGUCUGGGUUUACAUCCAGAACACAAGUGAAAGUCUGAAAUGUCGUAGCAGAGGCCCCUUCUUCUAAAAAUGGUUUUUGCCUUGUCCAUAAGUGGUGUGGUGGCUUCCGCUGACUUGAUGAUUUCUAGAUUCUGAUGGGAUUCAAUUCUUUUAAUUAAAAAAAAAAAAAAAUUAAAAGCCCAGAGUUGAAUCAGUCAGCAUGUUGUCGUGGUAGAUGAGGAGUAAAGACCUGGUGCAGAAAGAUAUUACCACAGCAGCAGAGUAGGAUCUGUUAAAUGAAUGAUCAAAGAUGGAAGAAUCAAAUCUGUCUUUGACAUGAACGAUCAAAGAUGGGCAUCUUCACUUUCAUCAGCUUUAAUUACUACGACGGACUGAUUGAUUGAUUACCAGAUGCUGCUUGUGGACGGAACGGACUUUCUUUUUUGCUUUUAAUUCUCCUUCUGAACGGGUAUCAUUACCAAUCUGGAUCUUCCCAUUUCAAGUAGUUGAUUUUUCCGCAUGGAAUAAUAAUAUAGAGGGAGAGUGUGGGAAAAAGGUUCGAUGGAAGUAAGAGUCGAUUUCAACUAAAAAAAUAAGGUCCAAAAUGAUAAAGCAGCGGGAAUGAGAAACCAACAGCUGAUCGAUCAUUCAGCAGGAAAGAAAAGAUUUUCUGCUAAAACUUCCCCACCGUCAGAAACUAAACAUUUUACACCUCCACAGUCUAGAGGAAGACACUACUGCUAUUUAUCAAUUUGCCGCCUUUCGUUCCAUACAGCAAAGGGGCAACAAAAAUUGAUCUUUUGUUUUGGGAAGUCAGGCGGGGGGGAAGUAGGUUGUUGAUUUGCGUAUUUUACAAAUGGAAUUUUUAGCAUCUCACUUGCGUAAGAGUUGACCCGAAGCGAAACAGAACGGACGUCUAAUCCUAUUUUUUUUUUUUCCUACAAUGAAUGAAUGAACAAACCUCUCUGACCUGAGAUAAAUGAUAAAUGACCCGAUUGCAGAUUAGUCAAAUACACAGUUUAAAUUAGUGAUUUAACUUCUUUAUCUUUACAGUACAGUAACUAGAUAACACUCCAGCAAUUAACCACCAGAAGAGCAAGGCUCCGUUUCUGCCUACUCAGGCACCUAUAUUGCAAUGAAAACAAUUUCACCACCUCGGCUGAUCUUUUAUCGGGUGAAAAGAUGACUCAAACAUGCCGCACAGGACAUCAUCAAGUCUCCCCCAUGGGACCUCACCGGACCAUCAAUCAUCAACAGCACAAUUAAUGUGAUUAAGAUCAGCUGAAGAAGUUAAGAGCAGCUUCUCAACGAUGAGAUUAAACUACCAGGGAUUCCGCACGUUCAUCAGGCUACAAACCCCGAGUAAAAUCCAUGUUAUAGCAAGUAGGAUUGCACGGAAAUGGGCGGUCGACUUCCUUUGCUUCCUUGCGGUUGAAGUACCAAUCACCGACACACUCCGCAAUUGUCUGCAUCACCACCAAAUUGGAAAUAUGUAACCAUCCAUCCAGCAGCAACAAGUCAAAGAACAAAAGUUCAAAUCAACACCACAACUUGUUGAUAUUAAUGCAAAAUAACAUCACAAAGUACAUCAUUGUCCAUUGAACUUUCACAAAUGCCUUCUUUUUGUCCCUCAACCUUGUUAUUUUAUUUUUUUUUGUCUCAACCAAUUAUCGCACGCGUCACCCACGUUCUACCAAUUUUGUCCAGCUAACUCAGCUAAUUUAAGGCCCUACAUCUAAAUUUUUUACAUAUUUUAGGGCUUUUUUUUUCAAAAAAUUUCUUUGCCUUACCCAAAUACCAUUUCUCAGCAAUGUGUUUCAUUUCUAUACAUAAAUGGGCAUAUCGGUGAAGUCACUAGACAAUAUUAGUAGUGUCUUUGAAGUAGGAAACCAAUUCAGAUGGCAGACCCUCUGUUGAAAGAUUCAACAGAAAGAUUUGGACAUUUAGGAAAAUUCAUGACCAAAAUAAGACAUUUAGGAAAGUUCAGUGACCAUUGGUGCACUUUGCGCAAAAGAAUGUAAUAUUGCAUUUAAACAUGCAUCAAAUCAAAGACACAAGAUGCAGCCUCCACACAGACACUUAAAUUUCAGUGACAUGAAGUGAUACAAUGAUUCUUAUCACGUGGCGGCAACUUGGGAUAUGUGCAUUGCAGGCAUUGAUGCUACAGUACAUGCAUUACAUGCAUAGGACUUUCUACAGGUAGUGUAUAGCCCAAUUGCCCAUCUACCCAACCCCAGAAGCAUAAAAGAGGAAUUGGAAAUUAGUCUGACAAAGGUCAAUUAGUAUCAUACCGAGUUCCAUGUUGUUGUAGCUAAUUUAGUACAUGUCAAUGCAAUUUCAAGUUUUAGCAGAUCACAUUGGAAUUCAAGUGCCACAUUGACUAUUGCAAAGGAGAAGAUUAAACUAGAAUCACAAUUCAUUCGACAAGAUGCUGAUGGGCUCAGUAAUGAAUUCCUGUCACGAACUGAACAACAUCAAGUUGAAGAUUUUGUUUAUUGCUAGUAACAUCCUGUCACCAUAUGACUGAGCCAAAAGUCAUCCCUUAUGGUAGUCCCAUGCUUCCAUAUAGGUGGAAAUAAAUGCAUUUACAAGGCUUGAACACCAUGCACUCAUCAACUCCCUACUCUGACUUACAAAUUUUCUUUUCUUUCCCCAAUAAUUCUAGUUGUAUUUAAUCUCUCUCUUUUGGACAAAAAAGAAAAAGAAACCAUCUAAUGCAUGCUUUCCCACAAGAACUAUCUUCAAGUCAUACUUGGUAACAAUGACUAGACUGUCAAGAGAAUAAUAGGACUCACUCUAUUGUUAAUUCUAGGAGAAGUAGGCGAGUGCCAUGUCUCUGCCAUCCAGGUCUGGCAAUGGAUAAAGCAAGAAUUUAUAAACAUGCCUCCUUCCUUAUUUUGCUGAAAUUUGCCGAGCGUCUUGAGCAAUGAAUUUCGGAAGCCUGUGCAUCAUAGACAAAUUAAUUAGCACAAAGAAAAGAAGAGGUAAUCAUUUACAUCAUACUCUCUUUGGUAUGUAGCUGAUUUAUAAUUUCUAGCAGUUUUAGUUUCAAUAAUGGCAUAGGCCCAAUACGAGCAGGCCCACUCCCCCAGAAACUCUGCAUAUUGAUUUACAACAAAUAUUCUACUUCAGCCCCUACAUUAGAUUCAGUGUGACUCAAAUGCAAUAAUAAACCUAGUAAAAAAUCAUUCUGAUCUCGCAAUGAUAGACACAUAAUUGGUCACCUCGUAGUACUUCAAGCUGGCUGGGAUUGCAGUUGAAAAUGUUCAACUUGCAGCUGAGCCAGGUCCUUUGAGAAUCUGAUUCAUCAGGUGCCAAUAUAUUUCGUAUCUGGAAGAGGAGAAUGUUACUGCUAACUGAAUGCUUGUCUAAAUACAAAUCCAAACUUGAAAUACUACCUAAAGUUGAAGUACCUGCCAAAAGUCAUAAGCUGGAUGGACAAGAAACAAUGGAGUCUUUAUAUUUUCUAUAAAUUCUUGAGGGAAAAAGCACUGGAUUGUGAAGCAGACAGUAAAAACAUGUUAAUCAAGAUAACAUUUCAUAAGGCAGUAAAACCAUCAGCGUCAACCAUUCGGAAGGAAUUAAACAUGUUCAUUUUACAACACACCUUAUGAGGCUCCAUUUUUGAAAGACAAUCCUUGUUCAAACUUUUUGCUAUGCCCUGGAUCCAUCGCAAGCAAAGCAUUACAAUAUACACAUAUCCAACUGAAACUUAGAGAAUGCCAACCAACAACAAGGCCAAUAGCUAAGUCUAUGAAAGUAAUAAACCAAUAUAAUCGUACAAAAGCACCGCAAAUGUGAAAAACAAGUUGAUCAUUCAAUUAAUGUGUAGAAAAACUGCUAAAAUAUGUCCUUCCAUAAUAUAUUAGCAAAACAUGACUCAUGAUCUUGACGUAUAAAACUGGAUCAUACCUGGAGAUUAACAACAUCACGGUAGAAGCUUUCAAUAGUGUGAUUUCCAGCAACAUCCUUUCUGGAACAGAAGACAUACAAAAGUCACAUUUUAUUAGAUAUAUUAAGAAAUGCUCAAAUGAAGUUAGGCUUCACAAACUCUUGUUUCAUGCCUAGUAUAUGUAACAAGAAGGUCAGGCUAACUAUAAAUGUUCUUAGGAUGAAUGAGUACAACCAAAAUUUCACUAGAGCAUCAGAAAAGAGUUCUCUUGCAGCAAAAUUGUCGCUUUUCCAUCUUCUUCCUUCUUUUAUGUUAGACUGAGCAUCAAAUGGUUCAUUUUUAUUCUUCAGGCUCUAAUAUUUUAGACAAGGUUAUGAGCUGGUUUUCAACAGAAUAAGUAGGAUGCUUGAGACGUUGCCUAAGAUUGAGAAAGAUCUAACUGUGUCAGAGAUAGCUCCUCUUUUUGUUGUUUAACAUGGAAUAUGAAAUUCUUAAUUUGUUCCCAAAUUCUUCUUUUUGUUAACAUGGAAUUUCUGAUCACUAACCACGUAAAGGCAUUUGCAUCGCUUGGAAAUAAAAUCUAAAGGAAUUUCUCCCAGAUAGGUUAAUCUCUGUUCUGAUGCAUUUCAUCCUGUAAUUUGUAGUUGAUAUUACAGCUAGCAAAAACUUCAUCUCUUUUCUCUAAGAAAAUCAUUCAGGUUAUUCAACCAAAAUGGGCAGUUUUUAGUUCAUUACACUCCCAAAAUAAUUCUACGAAUGGCUUCACUAAAGAUAGAAACUUCCACUCGAACAAAAUGUACUUUAACAAGGAAAGAAUGUUCAAUGAAAUUACAUAUAAAAUCAUUCGAGGCGUGAUAUCAUCUAUUGAAACAUACUCAUUGAGAAAAAAACCUGCAUCAGCAAGACACUUGACAGUAGCACCCUUUGGCAAAAUCCCUUGGAAAUUGUCACAGUGUAGGAGGGUUGCCAAGCCACCAGCUGAACACCCAGAAAGAAGAGCCUGUCAAUUUCGAUAAUAAGUAUCUGAUGACACAUUCCUGUUAUAAUCUGUUUUAUUACUACACCACCAGCUUUAUAAUUAAAGAAGGAUGUUCAGAACUGAUUUUCAGUCAGCUAAAUAAAAGCUGUGGACUGAGCAAUAAAUAUAAAAUUGCAUAAAUACAAAAAUAAGAAUACCUGUCUUGCAUUUGAAAGUCCUAGUGACAACAGUUGAUCCAUAACUGCCUCCCAGAUAAGCUGACCUCUGAAGAAGAGUUCUGGUCCAUUCUGCAAUAGAGAUUAACACACAACACACUGAAGCCUUUCUCCUACCAUUCUUUCUUCAUCUCCAAGUGGGUAAGAGAAGUAUGCACAAUCUUUUUAUGGUUUCCAAGCAUACAAAACAAGUUGGACAACUUACUUUAGACUCAGCAUCAGGGUGCCCAGAAAAGGAUGCACCAUCACAAUACCGGAUCUUGACUUUAUUCCAAUUGUAGAAAUCUGAAAAUUCCAUGAAACCCAGAAAACACCUGACAUGGUUAAUCCUUUAUGACAUAUGUAGCCAAGUACAAGAAAAGGGAAAUUCAAGGAAAGCACCAACUACGAAGAGAAUUUCAAGCUCAUAGGAGUAUAAAUAAAAUAAAAGAAGAAAAAGGAACAAAAGCAUGAGGUUUUUAAGAAUGAACACAACAAAGGAACAAAAGCACACAGUUUUUUAAGAAACCAUUUAAAAUAACAAGUAACUUUUGUAACCUUGGCAAAGCAUGGACAAGGCCUAUUCUUUCAUUUUUGUUCUAUCUCAUCUCUCUUGAGAUGUCCUCUCCACACAAACCGGUAAAACAGCCCUCCAGCUACAUGAUUGGUGAAAAGUGACAGGAAAGUGUUAAUAAAAUUGGCCUUAAUGUUACUGAUGCAAGAAAGUGCUUUUGAACAAAGGUUGAGAAAUUACAACUUCUUGCCGGCCACUUUUUACUACUCUCCGAAAAUGGAGGGCUCAGAGGAGGUAAUAAAUUCAAAUGACAAAGUUGUUGCAUUAUACAAUUGUUUUAUAUAAUCUGCAUGAAAAAAGUAGACCAAAAACUGAGAAAGAAGGUAAAGGAUCAUCUUUUACAAUUGUUUUAUAUAAUCCAUAUGCACUUUUCUCUCCUCUCUUGAUCUUCCCCUCCCUCUCGUCAUAUUAGAUAAAGAAUAUGUCGGCCCCCAACCCCCACCCCCACCUACCUAACAUCCUGAAAAAACCCAAAAGGAAUUAAAAGAAACUCUCAUUGACCCAACAAAGCAGUUUGGUUCUUUUUAGGCUUUACUAAUUACACAUAAAAGACUCAACGCCUGUCUAUUUGCAUGAGCUCAGAAAUUUAACAUGAACAAUGUCAUAAUAUCAGAGUCAAAAUGUCAUAGAAAAGUCAUUCCCAAAGUUAACAAGUCUCCAAGAAGAAGAGGAAGCAACAGGUGAUGAUUACCAGGAUUCUGUAAAGGGUCAUGGCUCAAGAUCCCAGAAAACUGAACUGGAGCAUCCAUGUACUUUGAAGAACCUAGCGCUGUCUUCUUACGAGAUGAACAUGAAGCUAUGGUAUUGCACCAACCUCCACCCUGGACGAGGUAUCAAAACAAGAUAAAGAGAGAUAGCCAGGUCGGCCUAUAGGCAAUAAAAGCUAAAGAUACACAAUUCGCAAAUACAGAAAGAACACCACUCCCCAAGAAUGUUCAAGCUAAAUCCAGCAUAAUUUAAUUAAAACACUAUUCUUCCGAUGGCCAAGUUACAGUCAAGAAUGCUAGUUUGACCCCAUUGCAGAAUGCAGAUAGCCCCUUCAGUAGCAAGAAGGAAUGCUCCAAGAAAGCGGUAAUUUGCCAGAGACUGGAAUCUGAACUUCAAAGUGACAAAAAAACUUGAAUGGAAGAAAAGUCGUGCUAAAAGAACCCUAAUUUUGAACACCAAAUCCCAUGCAAAACAAAAUAAAAUUUGAGAUUUACAUACUCUGCAACACGACCCAUAAAAAAAAAUAAUAAAGAAAAUGGGUUGAAACAAAUGUUAAUAGCAAUCAACGACAGAGAAUUAAAGAGAAGUAGAACUGAGAAUAACCUCGAUAUGAAGAACCCAAUCGUGGGAACCAGAUCCAAAACCCUUCUCCAUAUGAUAUCCCGGUACACUUCCAUCCAAGCAAACUGCAUUCAACAUUUAAUUAUUGGAUCAAUCAUGGUAUAAGCAUAAAUGUCUCCGAGUUAUCGGAGAAUUAAAUUAGACAGACGGACAUACUACUUACGUGCGGCUUUAUGAUGGGCAUUGGUUAAAGGGGUGAAGGGAAUCCAAUCCGAAUGUCGAGAUGCUGAAGACGGUGGAGCUGAAUUAGAAGAUUUAUCGGUGUGAUUACCAACGAUGGUAGAAGAAUAUUUGGGUGAGGAAUGGGAGAAGAUGAGGAUGGUUACAAUGACUACGGCUGCUAGGAAGAUCAACUCUCUCUUGGACCAGCCUGAGCCUAGUCCACGAGGACCAGCAAGAUGAGGAAGAUGAAGAGACCUCUGCUGAUUUUGAUUUGCCAUUUUACUGCUCCUACUUACUGCUGACUGCCUGCCGCAGCUCUCGUCUAGCGCUAGCUCUGGCUCCCCCACCACCCCCCCGCCCCCCUUUUUUUUUUGUCCCAGGAAGGAAUACUAAAUUUGUGGUGGCACGCUCUUAACGACGUCGUUUUAAACGCAUUGUCAGGAUCUCACUAAUUUUAUUUUUUUGAGGAAAGAAAAUUUUCGCCGACUCACGUGGUUAGCAAAUGAGCCGUGACAGUCCCGCUUCUAUUAUAUUAAGUACAUAGAAAAGAAUGACAUUUCUUGGCAGCAAAUCCUCUGAUUUUCCACGUACAACCGCAGUCUCAAAGAAAUAAGAAUGACAUUUCCUAACAAACCCAACAUCUGAUAAUUUCAAUUUUUAUCUCUCUCUCUCAGAUUGAACUUAACAUACAAGUUCCCUUUAACGGAACCUGAUCAAAAUUCAUGUUUACAUAUCCCUCCCAACGCCAACGGCUGUCGGAGGCAAGAUCCUCUGUCAGGCAUCAACCCCCGAACACCCCAAAGCUUUUAAACAAUUCUUCACUGCCUACCAUAUAAACCGUUGUAACCCAGGCUCGUGGUUCCAAUAGAAUGGCCGCCACAAGAACAUCGACAUUGUAAAGAGAUUGAUUGCGACAUAAAGCAACCCCAUCAGAAGCCAACUUAUUGUAUCAUCGACGUCAGAGUGCAGGACUAAGAAAAAGAAUGGAAUUGUAUAGUAUCUAAACUCUAUCAGUGGAGCGGGAAUUAGUGUUGCAGCUGAGGCCAGAAAAUAUGCGAUCACCCAUAUCUUCUUCUGAGUUUUCACUGUCAACAUAGAAGAAAAUUAUAUUUAAGAGUUGCACCAGGGAAACAUAAAUUGUUUACAUGCUUUCAAUUGUUUACUAACCCAAGGUAUUAAAGAUGCAAAACCAGGAGUAAACAUAAAGCGGGACUAGCAGGUACUUCAUUAUCCAAUGAGAAGCAAUGACUUUCCGCCAGAGAUAGAAGGGAUAGUGCCGAUUAUCCGCCAGAAGGUAUGGGUGUGCUAUGCUGUAAUUUGGCAAGAGAUGAGAAAAAUAAUUCUAACCAAAAGGGCUAAGAAAAGGCAAGAAUGGAGGAAAUUCAUCCAAAAGGGCUUUUUCUCUAUACAUCUCGUUAGAAUAGUUUCAAGUGUUGGAUGGACAAACCUGAAGAAGUGAACUGAAAGGAAGCUGAUGGUUAAAGCAAUAACCAACUGGAAAAAGCUAAAAGGCUUCUUCUUCCAUAAUGAUUGGACUAGAGCUACAAAUUGACCUGAUGUAAAGUGCACAGGAGCCAUAAACAGGGCAGACACCAGGCUAAAAUAAAGCAAUUGUGCAAAAUGUGGAGACACCUUAUGAGCAUCUUUUGCACCUGCACAGCAGGGAAGAGGAUUCAGAACUAUGUUGUAUUCAUGCUUGUUUUGAAGGCAAAAACUAAAAAAGUUGUAAAUUUUAGAUCCUCUUUUUGCUUGAUUCUUGAUAGUUUCAAGUUUCUAUGGGUUGUGAAUCCCUCAAUGUACAGUUUAAUAAUGCCACAAGGAGAGUUGAGUUUGAGAUUCUUAUCAUAAUCUGACUUUUUAUAUACCGGUGGCAAAGUCCGUCUCAAACAAACAAUCAAUUUGGACUCACAAGUCUUUUAGUUUCUUAAUAUUCAGACUUAUCAUUCCAUUCACAUUUGGUUUUAAUAUAUACAAAAAGGAAAAACCAUACUAUUUCUCAUAACAAGAAAAUGUGGGCAAAAGACAAAAGUCUGAUGGAGGUACCUAGAACAAUACUCCCAUUCCAGUAAACAAAUGCCAGGAAAGCCACUAGAAUUAGAAAGAAGGGGCUGAAGGAAAAGACUAGCUCCCACUUGAGCUGCCAUAUAUUUGAAAGCAUGUUCUGCAUCUCUUCGCACAAUCCUGUAAGAGAAACACUGUUAGCAAAUCAUCUGUUAGAAAAACACACCUAACAAAAAGUAUAUAAGCACUUGCUAUCUUACAGACUUCCCUACAAAUUGCAAAGCAGAAAACCUGUUGAAAAUUGGACAUAUAGCCCACAGGACAGAGGAAAAAUCCUAACUAAGCACUUUUGCUAUGAACAAAGGUCGUGAGACAGCAUAGGUAAUCCCCAUUUGGAUUCUAAUUCUACUAGUCGUAUCAUUCAGGUUUCAUCUUCAGAUAGCCUUACAAUUUGAUCACUGCUUUGAAAUGGUAAAAGAGAUACAGUAUCCAAGACCAGCAGGAGGAUGAAUCAUAAAACUUGUUCAUGGAUGAGAAAGAACCUGCUGAAUGAGGAAUGGCAUGGACAGAUGUUGGCGCAACUGAAUGGUUGACAGUAUCAACAUGACCAGAUCUUCUCUUUCUCAAGUUAGAGCCACUGGUUGCACCGUUACGGGAGGUAGAAGAAGCAACUUUAACUUCUGACAUACUAGAUUUUUCUGGAAGAAGAUCAUCUUUCUGCUGAGCAAGUGUCAGUUUUAUAACCUCAGAGCACACAAUGAACAAAAUCCAUAUGAUAUUGGUUUGCCGCAUUAAUACUGCAACUGCACCAAGCUACAGAUAGAUGGUCAAUAAAGGUUAGAGCUUUUGUCAAUGAACUUAAAGUAGAAGAAGGGCAAAUCAACUUAAAGAAAAUGAAUUUGAAUACAACACCCUUUAUGAAGGAAUUAGCACUAUAAAUGAACUUGGUUUUAUCCAAGCCUAAGCACAAGUAAUAUAACUUUGCAUCAUCCUAUGCAUGCUUGUGAGAGAAGGCAACUGUCGCAUAUUAGGAACCUAAUCACUUCUUGUCUGCUUCUACUUUGUUAACCCCAUCACUAUAUUUGAGACAGUAUCUCUAACCUUAAAUGUAAGAUAGUAUAAUGACAUACAAUUUUAAGCUCGAAUCUUUAUGCAAUAAACAAAGUGGUGACAAAUAAAAAGAGAGACUGAUAUCAUAACAUUGUAAAAGCGAAAUUAAUCUUUUUCAAGAUAGUAUAUGACACACAAUUCUAAGCUCGAAUCUUUAUGCAAUAAACAAACUGGUGAAAACUAAAAUAAAAGACUGAUAACAUAACAUUGUAAGAGCGAAAGGAAUCUUUUUCAAGAUACAAUACCUGUUAAAUUAACUUCCUGAAAAUUCUUAUACGAAUAGUUCAUUAUUAAUCUUUUUUUCCCUAAUUGUAUAUAUAAAUCCAGUAACUCAUGGAUAUGUUUGUGUGUGAGAGAGUGUAAGAAUGUGCAUGUGUGUGUGUGUGAGAGAGAGAGAGAGAAAGCUAAUCUUACCAAUGCACUAAUCCAAUAAUUCUUCUUCAAGCAACAAAGAUAAGCAGCAAGAACUGCUGUCAGUGAUGCAACAUCUGUAUAAUACAGGAAAGUAAAGAACCAGUGGAGGGGAUAGAGGGUCAGAACAAGCGCAUGGAAGGUAGCCUUUCUGUCAGUAAGAGCUGGCCUCAGAUGGGUGAUUAUAUCGUAGAUUAAAAUGCUGCAAAACACAGCUAACACGCCAUUUGUGAAGCGCAAAACUGAAACGGAGCAAGCAUCAGAAAAUGACGAGGCAUUAUUCACCAAGUGAAUUCCUGGAAACAAAGAAGCAACAUGGGCAAGUGAAACAAAGUAC